rnacentral:lncRNA from 1 species
GGAGCACAUUCUUGAGAUGCUGAAGCUUAAGAUCAAGGAAGAGGCUCUCAGAACCUAUCUGUUUUCUUACUCAUCUUGUUACGAGUCCCUGAGCCUUGGUCAGCUCAUUACUAUGUUUGACCUUAGCGAGCCACAGGCUCACAGCAUUGUUAGCAAGAUGAUGAUGCAUGAGGAGCUUCAUGCAAGCUGGGACCAACCGACCAAGUGCAUCAUUUUCCAUAGCGUGGAUCAAACUAGGCUGCAGGGACUGCUCUUUCAGAUGGCGGAUAGGCUCUCAGUCCUCGUGGAGAGCAACGAGAGGGCAUAUGAGGCUAGGACUGGCGGUGCCCUUGAGGGGGCACCACCCAGGCGAAGGAAUGAUGGUCAAGACUCUUCCAAUUUGGGGAAGUGGCAGGAGAACUUUGUAUCAUCACAAGGUCGGCGCGGUGGUGGGAGAUUUGGUUACUCUGGCAGAACUGGAGGACGCGGUGGUGGCUACCAGAAUGAUAGGUUCCAAAAUGACAGGAGUGGUCAGGGUUCCCGCGGUGGCUAUGGUGGUGCUGGUGGUUCACGGUUCCAUGAGGGAAGGGCUCGCACACAAUCUGGUAUGCCAUCUCGAGGCGACGGGAGUGCACGCAUGGUGAGCCUGAAUAGGCCUGGUAGAGUAUAGGACUUAUACUAGACAUUAGUUUGCUUGCGGCCUCCCAAGUUUCAAAUCACCGGUUUCUUUAAUCACCAAGAAAUCUCCAGCCGUUUUGAACCGCAGUAAUCGUUUGCUAUAUUUCGUUGUAGCUCUUAACUUGAAUCUGUCAAGAAGACUUGUCCGCUUUUUGUAUCGUGGGAGUGAGGACCAUGUAUGCAUUCAUAUAUUUGGUUUUGACAUCAACCUCCAAUUAUCUACUCUUAUCAUUUUGCUCCAAACAUAAGUUGUCUGCCUCGGAAUGUGUCUUAUUUCAUUGAGAGUAGUUACGGAACAGAUUUAUUCUUCAUGAAUUAAGUUCUAAAUAGUACUGUACAUUAAUUGCUUUACUUAAUUGUUGAAACCAUCGGUUUUCUAUAAUUUCUUGACUAAAUUGUUCAUGAAACUGAGACCUACUGUGAUUGCUUUACUCAAUUACUGAUGCUUCUAUAGUCUGCCCGUUUCUCUAUAUAAGGUCAUAUAGUCAGUAUGAUCAAGAGCCGAAAUCAAUUCACGGUGUAUUUCUGAUUUGCUCCAGUAAUGCACACUCCUUUCUCUCCGAUGCGGAGACUGAACUCCAAACUGUUACAGUAACCUUUUCGGCAACCCUCUUGCUCUACAACUCCGCUCCUGGAGUGGCUAUUGCAUAGCUGAGUAUUUCAUAGAAAUUUGCGGAGUCAAAAUCGUUGCUCCACGAACUCCUGUAUUCACACGACCAUUCACUCACCCUGCAUUUCAGAAUUACCCACCAGUGCCAGUGUGUCACUCACCGGCCUAUUUUUGCUUGGCUUGACCCGAGAUUCUUCAUAGAGGUGACAUGGCAGAGACUGAACCCUAAUGUUGCCACUGCAACCUCCUCGUUCGUCGCCAUCUCCUCCCGGCCGUCACCUCCGAACUAUAGCAGCGACUCAAAUAGGAGAUGUAUCGAUUUGACCAAACAAUGGGGAUGGGGUAUUUUCGCCUAGAAAAUAUGACACAUGGGCCUAGAUAAAAAGAGUAGCUUAUAGAAUAAUAAAAAUGUGUUCUGUCAAGAUGCAAUAAAAUAUGCUACGUCAUGACAACACAUGAUCUAAAUUUAUGAAAUAAGAAAUCAUUUACUAAUCAAAUAACGCCACAAAGUCAAAAACCAAACAACUAGCUCACGAUCUAAAACUUAAAUACAAGUAUUGAUAGCGUAAUUGCGAAAAACUUUAAUCUCGCACGAUGAUUUUCAUAAAAAAAAGUCACCUACUGGAUGUAGCUUGGCGUACACAUGAGCCAUUGGUGCAAUCAAGUGAUCGGCCAAUUUAGCUUGCAAACUUUUUGUUUUGAACAUAUGUGAUUUAUAUACCACACGUGAUUUGUCAGCUUAGGUAACGACCAUCGUCUCGCACGUGAUCUGGACUUUAAUUCGAAAUACACAACUAAUAUCACCUCAAACGAUCAAUUAUUUCGAUGCAAACAUUGAUGAACUUACAUGUUGUGAACUUUAAAUUAUGGACUAAGAUCUAAAACCACAUAAAUAUUGUGUCAUAUUCAAAACAUGAUAUACUUCAGUACUCUCUGUCUCUCCGAUGUACGUCUUUUUUGGCUCUGACUAUAUAGCGAGCAUUGUCCAAACUUUACUUGAGUGUAUAUGUGCAAUGCGGUUUACUAAUUUCAUUUCUAACAAUAAUCAUGCUCAUGAUCUGGGAUGCAAAUUUUAUUUUCAUAUUGACCUAAUAGCACAUACAAAUGACAUAUGCACCUUUCAUUUACUAUAUUUGCUAGGCUUUUGAAAUAAUACAACAAUAUAUAGAUAUGUAUAAAGAUGUUUCCCGCGGGACACCACUAGUUAAGAUUAAACAGGAGCAGCUGGCCUGUUUGGAGCUGGGCAAAGAGCGCCAUCAAAUAGGAUUUAAUAAAAUUCCAGCCAAACUGAUAGAACUCCGCGGAAAAAUCAUCAGGACCGGGCGCUUUGUUAUACUCCAUCUGGAAAAUGGCAUCAUGCACUUCCUGCUCGGAAAGUACCGCCACGAUCGAGAAUGGCAUUCUCCACCGCAAAAAGUUGAGGUAUAUUAGGAUAAAACGAUCGCCCAAUAGGCGUAAAUCUGGCCGUCGUCACAGAUCGACUCCACCGGCACACUCUACCUUAAAGUCUACAAAGUGCAAACACGUACCGGCCAUGAGCUGAAAAUUGCUACUCAAAACAACGUCUCCUACUCUUUCUCGGUUGGGUUGACGUCCGCCAGGAGCGGUUCCGUGAUGGUACUCUCGUCAUCUUCGAGCUGCGAGUCCGACCGCACCACCGUCGUCUUCUCCAGAUCUUCGGUGUGCUCCGGCACCCUCUGGCCCUUUGCGUCGCCUGCUUUGGCCCACAGCACGAUGUACAGACCAGCAACCACAGAGAUGGCACCCAACAAGCUGGAGACAAGCAAAAUCAAUCGUACAGACGUCAGCCUAAAGUUCCAUGUGAAAUCAGCAACGAAAAACUAUUCCUUUUUUUCGACCAGCAACAACUAAUUAAAAUGGCUGCCCAUCUUUUCUGACAGAGGUGAAAUUACCUUCCAGCGUGUGGCUCUUCGUGAAGGAUAAGGGUGGCCAGCACGGUGGUGACGACGGUGCAGAGGGGGUUGAACAUGGCCGAGUAAAGAGGGCCUCUCACAGUUAUGCACCACGACUGCAGGUAGAAUGUCACGCCUGACCCGAACGCGCCCUGCAAGUGCAAGUUCCCAAUGGUCGACAUUGUUGUUAAACAUUGUGUUUGUUUGUGUUUAGCCUGCAAGCAUGUAGCCUGAGCCAGGCGCAAAAGCUGGCAUUUCUCGGCGGCGAACUUACGGCGAAGAUGCAGCCCAGGAGCUCGAAAAGCGACCGGAUCUUCCAGGCGCUGAGGUCCGGCACCGCGAACGAGGUGAGCAGCGCCGACUGCGCCGUCGACAGGAAGCACAUCCAGGCGGCCAGCGUCAGGGGAUCCACGUAAGACUUGCAGAUCGGCACCUGAAGAAGGAGAACGAAGCUAGGUUCAAGCUGGUGUCGUUAUUUCAGUAGUUGUGUGCUCUUCUUUCCCUGAAAGUUUUUAAAUUCUUGCUUGAACGAUUGGCUAGCACACUGACCUGCAGGAUGAGCCAGAGUGACCAGCAGGAGCUGCUGGCGACGAGGAACAGCGCGCCGAUCACCCAUUUCCGGCUCACGGGCGAGUGGAGGAGAAGCACGUCGUACUCCAGGCCUCCUGGGCCGCCCCCGAGCGAGUUGAUCUGCAGCAGCUUGGGCCCCUUGAAGAACGCCAUGACCAUGGCGCCGCCGACGCAGACGCCCGUGCCGAGAAUCUUGGCCAUGCUUCGCGGUUUCCUGAUCUCCACGCUCUCUAGCCUGCAUGCAUGCAUCAAACGAUGGUGAUUUGACACUAUUAACUAGAGGAAUUUAACACAACCACAACCGUAUUUGUCUUGUUUAGGAUGUCCGGCCCACUGACACUGAUAGUAGGUGAUAGAGAACUAAUAAGAGUACCAAAUUACUUGCAUUGUGCCUACGGAUUCCACAAAUAAUGUUGGUCCGUACGUAGAGUCCUUGUCGGGCGCGGUUAUGUGCUCAGAUCGUAAAGAGAUCGAGACAGUCUGUGUCAAAGUCUGUGGCCAACAGGAGGCCAAGAAGAUGUGCUGGUUAUGUGCUGGUCUUGUCGGGCGCGGUUAGAGCAAGGCCAAUGUGAGCUGAGUCUAGAUAAAUUGUUAGGAUCGUGUCUAAGAAACCCAAAACUGGUCUAACGUGUAUUUUUCUUAGCAUCGCCUCGUGAGAUCCACCGUCCCACAAGUUACCCAAAAUAAGAAAUCACCUCCGGUGCUUCUUCUCUUCGUCUUCCUCCCAAAUUCCCAAUCGAUCUAUGGGGAGAGAUCCCCAAAUUAGAAAUCCAUGACGCUGGGAGUGGGACACCACCAUCCUCCUCAUACUAGCUCCAUCUUCUUCCCCUUCAAUCAGAAAUCAGAAAUCAGCCGGCCGUCGUCCUCCUUCUCAUACUAUUUCUAUUUUUCCCUUCCAUGAUUCCAUCGAUCCAUGACGCUAGAAAUUGAACGCGGCGGCACGCAGCACCAGCAGGGGCGAAGGCGCGACCUCGCCUCGUGCCCUGGGCGAAGGCGCGGCCUCGCCGCGUGCGCUUCUGCCGCGCUGCCGGGAACGAAGCUCCAACGGCUGUACAGAGAGAGGAAGAGGGAGCAGGAGGACACGCUCAGCGUGGGACCGACGAGGUCAACGAUUCACUAACUCGGCGCAAGUUCUUGAGUCGAGUCUAAAACUUUUUUCUUAGCACCGUGCUUCAUAUUUAUAUUUCUUUUCUACUACUAGUGGAGUAGUAUGUUCUGACAAGUGGUACAAUCUGCUCUGUAACUACUGUACGCCUGUACGUACGGUAAACAGUCGUUUCAGCUGUAAGUUAGGAGAUGCAAAUAAUGUUCUGCAAGAUAAGUUGAAAAUGGACAUAAACAUGCAGUGAAAAGGAUGCCGGCGACGCUAGCUUCUAUUUGUGGACUGUGGCUCAGUUCAGAGGAAUUGUGACGUGAGGUAGUCCAGGACUCCAGGUUCUCUCGAACACAUCAACACGUACUUAAAGAAAAACGGAUUUCUAGGUUAAUUGGCAGAUGAAAUUUGCCUGCAGGGAACCGUGCGUACCCUAGUGACGUGCAUAUGCCAUUGGGUGAAAUCAAAGAAGAGUGCCGGCUGGUUUGUUACAGUUUCAGGUGCUCACCCAACUGACGUCGCCAAGACGAAGGUUAUCGCGGGUAUCAGGUUCGUCAUGGCCGUCGCCAUGGACGAGGACCCCAGGUGCAGCCCUUGGUAGUACAAGUACUGGUUCGUUGUCGCCCCAACAAGAGAGGCCAAGAACACCAGCGCGAAGCCUGUCGUUCCGAUACACACCAUCUCCUUCAGCCUCUUCCUGGAGAAUUAAUGAAUCAAUGAAGCCAUCAGAGAUAUGCAGAUUUGUCAGCGUAGUUUAGUCCAUUCUGCAGGGAAUGAAUCAAUGAAGCCAUCAGAGAUAUGCAGAUUUGUCAGGGUUGCGACAGUUAAAUAUGGAAGGUCUGUCAGGGAUGCGACCACAGAGCCGAUCGAGCCCAUCUUUCUCCUAACCGACACGACAGUUAAGGAUUCGUUUGGCGCGGUGGAUUAUUUUUCCACGCUCUUCUUUUCGUGGUUGGCUAACUAUUUUUUUCAUAUUUUUAUGUGAGCAUAUUAUAAAAUAAGUUUAGUGCAGGAGAAUAUCCUGCGUAACGUGGCGCAAUGGCCGGCCAGGACGUCCGUCGAGCCACGCCCACGUGCCCUUUGCCACCUUUUGAAUUCAUUUAUAAAAAAGAGUACCUUUUGAAUUCAGGCUUGUCUUAAUUAUCUUAUACUCUGUACUUUUUUUUUGCGAUCGCACUUAUACACCGUACGGCAAUCGGGGGGAGAGGGGGGGAGGUAGAUACAUCACAAGCCGACGACUACCUUUUUUUUAAUUGCAUUUCAAUCAAAAGUUCAUAAAAACAACCUAGUCAAACACAAACAUGACUAGAUAACUACCACGAAGAAGCAAUCUUCAACAUGCAUGAGAGGAGUGCCUCCAACAUCGUCGAAGGACAAACCACUGCCGAGUCAGUACCAGUUGCACAAUCUCCACCUGCUUGGUCGGCGACCGAGUGGAUCUGAGCACCAGCGAGUCAACGAGUGUUGUUACCCAAUGCAUCUAGUUGAAGGGUGUCACACACCGAGACAACGCUGCAGAUCUCAACCUCACCGGUUGAAGAAUCUGCCAUCACUGCGAGCUAGUCCACAAAAGUUAUCGAAGGGCGUUGCGACACCGAGUCUAGACCACAAACACGAACCUUGACCGCGAGCUCAAGAGUCAAGAGCCAUGAUGACCGAGAACUAUGUGAAGCGUAGUGUGCAGACUAUGCCGACGAAGGGUGAUGGGCAGCCGAGACUUCACUAAGGCAGUGUUUGGUUGGGGGAAUCAAGUGGAACGAAGUGGAAUGGUUCCAGUUUUGGAGGUGGUUUCAGCGUUUGGUUGAAAGAAUAGAGAAAAUUGGCAUGGAACAAAAUGGUUCCACAGUUGGGAAUAUACCCCUCAGAUUCGAAACGAACCGAUUCCUCAAAAAACAAGGAAUCAUCUCGUUCCACCUCUCUCGCAGGAAAGAUUGGACUACCGGCCCUCUCUCUUUCUAUUCUCACCCGGCGCUCUCUCUCCCAUGGCAGCUGCCCCUACUUCCAUCCCCCAUAGAUCUGGGCGCCACACAACCUCCGGACUCCCUCAUCGGCCAGAUCUGGUCCAACCCUGCGGCGGUGGAGGAGGGAAACGACGUGGAAGCAGUUUCGGUCGGCGGCAGCGGAGGAAGGUCGUGAAGGGGAGAGGAGGCCGGCAACUUGGAGGAGAACGACGAGGUCUGCCCGGUGGAGUGCGUGACCGCAUUCAAGACGGAUGAGGAGUUCACCUGCUUCCUAGAGCGGUCGAGGGCGACGGGCGCGCUGCUGGUGGUGGACUUCUUCCGGCCGUCGUGUGGCAGCUGCAACUACAUCGAGCAGGGCUUCAUGAAGCGCUGCAAGCGCUCCGGUGACGACGGUUCCCUCGUCAUCUUCCUCAAGCACAAGUGCACAACGUCUUGUUGGUUGGUACUAAUUGAUUUGGAGCGGCCGAGUACUAAUUCACUAAAUGUAGAGCAAGCUUAAUUAGCUUUCCUUCCAACGAGCCCUAAAUUAACGAAACAACAUCUUCAUUCCAUAAUAAUUGAUGCUCUUCCGUGAAUGUGUUGUAUGGAAACAUUAAUACGGGUUGUUCUUAUAUCAGCUCUACUAUUUUGUUAUGGUUGAUGUAUUAUUAUGUAAAAAUUGUUGAUGUGGAAAAUACAAAAUAAGUGCUGACAUUUUUUUACUAUUGUAAAAAUUAUAUAAAUAGCUAUAUUCUCGUACUCACAGUCAUAUUGAUAAUCUCACCAGGGGUGAGUGCAUCUUGACCAUCUCAUUUCAUCUUCUUAACCAAACACAAAAUAGAACCAUUCUACUCCGUUCCAUCUCCUCAACCAAACACCAAACCGGAACCUAUAAGAAUGGAACGGAACGGAAUGGAACGGUUCCAUUCCAUUCCACACCACUCUGGAACCAAACACAACCUAAGAACACGAAACUUACUUGCAAGCAUCGACCACUGCAAAGGGGCAUCCUCCUCCCAAUAGGGGCCUAACCGAAAGUUAUCGGGGAAGUGACGCUAGCAUGCGCGUCUGACUAGGAAACAACACUAACACAUACAUAGGAAGGAGAUGGAAGCCAGCAUAGCUAAGCAAAUUCGACUAGGGAUGUCUCUCCGUCCCAUAAACGCAAACUCACGAUGGACCAAGAGUAAAGAAGCAACAUCUUCAAGAAGGAAAAGACACAAAAGCGACUCCGCUGCCGAUCCGAGAAACCGGAUCUAGGGUCCCCCAAAAUCAUGGAUGCUCUCUUGGAAUCCAAAAUAGACGCCCUCCAAGGAGGUGAACGGCGCCUGGAAGAGUCGCCCCAUCAUAGGCACAGUAGCCCCAUAUUUCUCCGUGAAUUCCAGGAACCGAGCACAUAUCCAUCAUAUUGGAAUCAAGGGAAGUGAAUCAUACCAUGGCAGCCCAGAAAAAUGGCCGGAUCCGCCGGCACGAACUAGAAGCGGCGCAUGACCACCGGCCCACAACGGCGGUUGCCUAGCUUGGAUCUGAGACGCUUGAAGCCGGAUUUGGAUGAGAGGGUGCAUGUGACCUCCCUGACGCCCCUGUCCCCGGCUGUUACCGUAGGAUGCCGCAGAGCGACGGAAGGCCCGCAGGCUGGAGCCCUUCGUGGGGAGGCGGUGGCAACUUCACCCCUGGUGCUUGCGGUGGAGAAAGACCAACUUGGGCAGGAUUCAGGCCACGGGCAGGAGGGGCCGGAUCGGGCCACUAGAUAUGGAGCGAGCUCCUGCCGUGGACAAGGCAGCAGGCCACGUUGGAGCUAGGCGGCGUCCCGAAUCUGGCCGCACGGGAGGCCGCCGCCACGAGGCCCGCCCUUCGCCGAUUGCUGAGCCGAGGGACUUAUCCUGGAGACGCGGAGGAGGGAGAGCUUGAUGGCGAGUCUGGCGGCGGGAACUCGUCGAUCAGGAGGUACGGGCGACAAGGCAGGGGGCCAGUGCUAGCUAGGCGGUCGCUCCGCAGCCGCCAUCGGUUGUGCGAGCUUAGCCCGGUGGCUUCCUUUGGCGAUGGUGAGGGGGUUGAGAGGACGGCGAGGAGCUUUUUUCGGGGUUGGCCGCGGUCGCCUCCGGAGCCACCAGGAGCGACCCGAGAGGCCCUAGUUUUUUUUUCCAAUAUCACUUACUCCCUCCAACUCAUAAUAAGUGCAGGUGGUUUUGUAAACUUUGUACUAAAUCAGAGACACUUAUUUCGGAUGUGAGGGUGACGUGGUUAUGACCACCUCAUCUUUGGCAUACCCACUACGGCCCAGCAUGAAGCUCACUCAGGAACCUACUACGACUCCAAGAGUCCUGAUGCCUAAUCUUGCGACUCAAGACAAGUAAGUUUAAACAUAGUAUAUCUCUUCAUGAUGUAACUGACUUGGACUCUACUCGAGACCUGGCCUCCUGCAUAUAUAAAGGACUAGGAGGGGGAGCCAAGGAGGACAACUCCCUCUCCCCCGAGAGACACAAUCCCUCGUAGAAGCCGCCUAGAUGCACUCGCUAGAUCUCAUCUGCGCACCAUAGCCUCCGCGGCACACUUGUAAUCUCUCCAUCAUACAAGAUCAGACAAGCAGGACGUAGGGGUAUUACCUUCCGAGGGCCCCGAACCUAGAUAAAUCAUGUCCCCUGUGUCCUUGUUAGCCGACGGGAUCGCCAACACACACGCAUGUCGUUCUCCCUAAACACAAAACCCUUCAACAUGGGCAUUGUCGAAGUCACGACUUCGUCAGAGGGAGUAAUUAAGACUUCUAGGAUAGCCCCAAAUAAGGCCGAGGAACAAAUUCUUGGUUGUUCUUCCUCUCGAAUUCCUCUUACCCAAUAGAAUAUCAAUGUUGAAAUUGUUGCCCAUAAAAAAGUUACACAACGAGUAAUUAGGUUUUGAGAAUCAAAAUGUAUAGAUAUUUUGAGAAUACUUCUAUAAAUGAUUAGUCAUAAUUAUAGUGAGGUCGGCACUUGCGAAAGUUUGUUGUCAAGAAAAGUUCAUAGAGAAGUAGGACAGUGCAGCGCAUGAAUUGACACGACAAUCGAGUAUGCUAAGAAUUCGACACAUACUGCCUUCUUUCAGGCCAUUUUCGUGAAAACUGUUUCCUUAGAGCAUCCUCAGGUCUGAGGCCAAAAAUCGUCUCCACCAGCUUGUGUAUAUGCUUGUGUACAAGUAGACGAUGUCUAAAUUCACCUCCACGACGUCCACAUUUGGACUACGAAGCCACGCCGUCCAAAUCCAUCGCGCUUGCCACGGGGGAGUCCGAGGAGGGAGAGGGCGCCGCUGAUUCGAGCGCACGGCCGCAAGGUUGGGGGAGGCAGGGGCGCCGCCGCCUGGGAAAUAUUGGGGAGGGGAGGGGGCGCCACCAUGGGAGAACGGGAGGGGCGCCUCCACGGGGGAGUCCGAGGAGGGAGCGCCGUCGCGGGCUCGGGCGCGCAGCCGCAGGUUUGGGGGGUGCAGGGUCGCCGCCGCCUGGGAGAUGGAGGAGGGGAGGGAGCGCCGCCGCGGGCGAGAUGGAGGAGCGGAGGUGCGCCGUUGCUGGGGAGGGGAGGGUGUGGAGGAGGGACAGGAGCGCCGCCGAUGGAGGAGGGGAGGGGGUGGUGCUGCCGCUGCUCGUGGCCGGUGAGGAAGAAGGGGCUGCUGAGGGAGAUGGAGGAUGGGAGGGAGGACACCGAUGGGAAGAUGAGGAUGGGCCGGUGCUGUGCUGCUCAUGGGACGAAGGGAGAAGAAUAAUGGUAUAUACUAUUAUAAUAUAGGAGAAAGAAUAUACAUAACCUAUAGAUCUAGACAUGCUGAUGAAAAAUUAGAAGACGUUGAUAAAAGAAAAAUUUAGACCAUUGUCUAUAUCUUCAUAUAGACAACCGAAUAUACACGAGAUGCUCUUACUUCUUAGGUUGUCUGGAAUGAUCGUACUAAAGCAUCCGUCUCUGGAUCGAGUUGUACCUUAAUCUCUCUCCCUUUCUCUGUCUCUCACUCUCUUUCCCCUGAAAUUAUACUCCUACUAGCUACUAACCCCUUAGUUAAAAUUCGCAUACGUGUGUUUCCAUCGGGUGCCAUUAAUGCAAAACGUAGAAAAUCCACUGCCCCAUCCGCUCAUUCCCGCGCGUGGAGCACUGGAGCGCGGUCUAAACCAGGUAAUUAAAGACGCGUACUUGUGUGCCUGGCAGGAAAAAGAAAGAAAGACAGUACUCCUACGUACCCUCCCAUUCUCCAAAUCAAACAUGUGUACUUGUGGCCUAUUAAGCUCGGGCGAGCCGGCGAUCGGGCGACGUGUCCUAUAUCCUUCCAUUCCCGGCCCAAAGUUGAGUCCAUCCUCCAAAUUUGCGAGGCCAACCAAUGCAACGUACGACACGGCUCGCCGAUCAAAUUUGGCCACGCUACGUCGUUGUGCCGGUCGUCAACACAACACUUCCGCUUGGCCGUCGUCGUACAAGCAGAGAAAGCUCUCCGCUGCGACCGGGGCCACUAGCAGCUAGCGAAAGCUUUAUUUUUGGAAACGGAAAUGCUGAAAGCUUGGGUCGCGCCAUCAAUGCCGAUAGCGCGAUCUCAGGUAGUUGGCUGGCUCCCCGGUCCGCCGGCUUCCGCUACCAGUCGGACUACUGCAGCUAGUAGAUGCGUGCCGAAUUAAUUCCCGCGAAUGCUGCAUGCAACGCCCCUCUACGCGAUCCGCCCAGCGGUUCAGCGCCACCAGAAUUAAGACGACCGAUCCGAUUGACGACGCUCUUCCACACAAACGAAACUGGUGAACGCAUCACGCGUGCGUACGUACGUCCCGCUGCCUGCAAGUGCAACCACAUGUGACGUGACGCGCCGGGCAUACAGGGCCGAUCGAUCCAAGACUUUCAAAUUAUUAAAGCCAGGCGCGACCUAAGAAAAAAAUCAUGCAGCUAGCUAGCCUGGUUGUACGCACGCGCUCCAUCGAAUCGAUCUGCUACUAAAAAAGCAUCGAUCAUGUCGCUCCCAUAACAUUAUGGUAUCGAUCUCCAUCCGCCCCUUUGAAUUUCCCGGUUGCCCUUCCCGGCCUGUACGUACUCCCUGAUCAUAUUAACUCCGUCUGGUUGGGGCAGGGCCGGGCCGGUACGUAUGGCGGUGGUGGAGGUGACCGAUACUAAUUUCUUAGCUAGAGCUUGCCUGAUUGAAUGGCUGUACUCCAUAGUUACGUAUACCUUUCCCUUUGCUCCCCUCGACCCACGCAUCUAGUUCCACUAGCUUCACGCGCGUAUAUAAACCUACGGACUUUUGAGUGAUCGGCCAGCCGCGUGGUGCAAACCACAACACACAAUCUGCACCGUACGUCUUCCAUCCUAAUUCCAUUCCCUCCUCACGCCUCUCGCCAGCUCUCCCUCUCCCACAGCUUAAUUCUCGAACCGGAGAUAUAUUGCUUCCGUAGCCGAACCAGAGUUCAGAGCGGAAGAGCCAAGAGCCGGGAUCGAACCAGCGUACGCAUGGGUGCCGCGUUCUUGUCCUCGUGGCCAUGGGAUAACCUUGGCUUGUUCAAGGUACACAUGUUUCUGCUAGCUUGUGAUCGAUCUUUGUUUUUGUUUUGAGACCCUCUGUCCGAAUGCAUCUGGUUCAUUUUCGUGUGUGUGAAUGGCUGGCAGUAUGCCCUGUACGGGCCUCUGGUGGGCAAGGCCGUGGCGUCCCGGGCGUGGGAGCGCGGGAGCCCGGACCAGUGGCUCCUCCUCCUGCUCGUCCUCUUCACCCUCCGGGCAUUCACCUACCAGCUCUGGAGCUCCUACAGCAACAUGCUGUUCCUCACCCGCCGCCGCCGCAUCGUCCGCGACGGCGUCGACUUCGCGCAGAUCGACAAGGAGUGGGACUGGUACGUACUUACGGGUGCAACUCAUCUGAUCAGUCAAUCAAGAACACCACACUUUCGAUCAUGCAGGAGUCCUCCUGGCUAACAAGAAGUUUGGCUCCGGCCGCCGUGUGUGUGUGUUUCUUCCAGGGACAACUUCCUGAUACUGCAGAUACUGAUGGCGGCCACGGCGUUCUACGCCUUCCCGUCGCUGCGGGACCUCCCGCUCUGGGACGCCAAGGGGCUCCUCGUCGGCGCCCUCCUCCACGUUGUCGCCACCGAGCCCCUGUUCUACGUGGCGCACAGGGCCUUCCACAGCGGCCACCUCUUCUCCUGCUACCACGCGCUCCACCACUCCAUCAAGGUGCCCACGCCCUUCACAGGUAUGUAAAACAUAUAGUAGUAUGCUUUGAUUGAUCGAUCGUAAAUCCGUUUAUUGGUGAUCAAUCAACUAAAUAACAAACACACGCGUGCGUGCGUGCAGCCGGGUUCGCGACGCCGCUGGAGCACAUGGUGCUGGGCGCGCUCAUGGCGUUGCCGCUCGCGGGCGCGUGCGCCGCGGGGCACGGCUCGGUGGGCCUGGCGUUCGCCUACGUGCUGGGCUUCGACUUCCUCAGGGCCAUGGGCCACUGCAACGUCGAGCUGUUCCCCGCCGGCAUAUUCCAGGCGCUCCCGCUCCUCCGAUACCUCAUCUACACCCCAACGUACGUUCCCUUCGGUCUCUCCAUCUACAGUGUUCUACACACAAAAUAGUUUAACUAUCUCCCAGAAUUGAGCCUGAAAAUCCAACUAUGAACAUUCCUAGUACUACUCCGUACUAGAUUUAAUUCACGAUGAUAAUUCGCUGGACAACUACUGUACGGGGCGAAUCUGAUCCCAGAGAUACGUGUACUUUGGCAAGUCGCAAAUUAAGUACAACCCCCCGGACCCAUCCACACAGACACGCGGCUCUGCUUUGCAUUACUGCCGGCGCGCGCAGGCUUCGCUUCCAAACUGCUUCACUGGUCACCUGAUCGACGUCCUAUCUAUCAACACAUUGUCAUUGUUCGUUCCAGGCAUCCAUCACAGUACAGUAGGUCGGCCGCGCUUCAGCCUCCGAUCACGUGCCCAACGAGCACCGGUCGUUGUGUCGCGCCUUUUUUCGAUCGAUGGAAUAGUAUCUUCUCCCGUGCUAGCUACUAACCUGAGGCCUCGCUUUCAAUUCGUACCUUGGCUUUGCUUUUGCAGGUACCACACGGUCCACCACACGGAGAAGGAUGCCAACUUCUGCCUGUUCAUGCCGCUGUUCGACCGCCUGGGUGGCACGCUCGACGCCAACACCUGGGAGCUGCAGAGGAAGACCAGAGCAGGUAACUAAUAAUAUCCUUCUGGAUCUUAAUUACUCUCUCCAGGUUGCGGUUCCGGCGGGGUUUUACGCAUGCGGCAUGCGUUUCCUCGGACAAUCAGGAGGACACGCAUGCGUUGCGAAGCUCGAAUGGGAUGCGCACCGGCCUACUCUGCUGCAGGUUUAGACGCAGAAGCUUCUUAAUUAGUUCCGUCUCAGUAGUAGCUGCGCUGCAACAGCGUGUUUAUUCCAGAUCGAGACGGACGGACGGGACCGACGUUUCUUAAUUAGGACGAGAACGGGGUCACUUAAACUUGUGGUUGUGGUCUUGUGGAGGAGGAGCCGAGUCGUUGUUUCGCCUAGAUGCAUGCUUUCUGCAGCAAUAUACGCGGAAGCGGAUCAGGGCCGUCUCCAGGAAUUGGGGGCACUGGACCGAAAUUGAAAAUUUUGUUCUAAAAUUGGGACGAUUUCAUAUAACUAAAUCAUAACUUCAUGUACUUGUAUAACUUUACGAUUAUAAUAUGUCUUAUUUCGCACAACAUCUAAAAUUAUAGCAGAAACAGAAUGGUAGUAUACUAGUAUUGGAGCAAUAAACUGAUCUCAUUUCCUACUGAAAAGCAUCAUCCGUCUAGUGUUUUUUGAAAUAAAAUCUCCAAUUAUAUCUUCAUAAUCAAUCUUCGGCUUCAUUUUCAAGUGCUAUUGUCACCAAUCCACUGAGUCUUUCUUGCAUCAGAGUAGAGUGAAAUAAGAUUUCAACAAGUUCUAGAAAAGCUUCUUUCCGCAGAAGCAACAGUCACCGGAAAUGGUUAACAAAAUUCCGUACGCAAUCAUAGUGUUAUGAUAUAAGGUGUAGAGAAUUCGAGGUGGACCUAACACACUACGAGAGGGCCUAUUCACCUAUACCAACUACUUUGGUGUAGUUGAUUAGUCCCUUUUUAUUUCUACUUACUUAGUGCAAGCUUCCGGGCGGCAGAGCCACUCACGUUAAAGCAAGUCUUGAAUCCGGGCGGCUAUGCCACUCACGUUGAAACAAGACCGUUGUGAUUCCGGGUGAAUCCGCUCACGUUAAAUCACAACUUAUAUGCACUAAGUACUUAGAAAUAACAAGGCCUAACCGGGAGACUUAUAUGAACAAAGUAGUACUAUUGCUUUAGGAAUAUUAGUACAAGAGAGAGCAUACACACCUUACACUUGCUCACACCUUGUUCUCCACCUUCUUCACUUUCUUAUUCUCUACUACACAAGGUGUGAGGCAAGGGCCUCUAUUUAUAGGACUACAUGGCCAUUGGAUCUUUGACAUGUGUCAAAAUCUUAGCCAUUGAUACAAAAUAUCUAAAGCCUUCCACACACUUCUACAUAAAUAUCUAGGUACUAGAAGGUUUCCUAUUUAUUUAUUUUAAACUCCUAUUCUAGAGUAUUCCAAAGCUUCUACAUAAUUCUUCAUGCAUAUCUAAACACUAGAAGGUUCCCUCUUUUAUUUAUUUUAUAUUCUAGAGUAUUCCAUAGUAAUGUCUUCUUUUUUGUAAUAUUGAGAACACUCUAGAAGCUUGCAUUGUAUUCUCCAACAUAAGGGCAGCUUCUUCAGAAAAAUUAGAAUAUCAAGAGGAUCCACAGAUUCUUUCAGGAGAUCUUGGAGGAAAAAAUUGAGAACAAAAUAGAAGAGUUAAGCAAUGCCAGGAGAUUACAAAUUAGCGUAGCAUUGUAGGUUGCAGCAAGCCAACGUCUAGCGAGGGCAGAGCCGUAGAGGGAUUAGGGGACUGGAAGACAACAUGCCACGGACUAAGGGCACGAAGUAAUCAAUUGAAUCGAUCAACGCAGGGCAGGACCUGGACGAGCGGCAGGGGGCAACCUGGUAGGGUGAUUGCGAUCGCGAUAUCUUCGGGAGGAGCUGUGGAGGCAGGGGCCAGCGAGUCGAAGUUGAGGCGAUGGAGUAGGAGUCGAGCAGUCGAGCAGUUGCUCGCCAGUGCUAUUUUUUUUUCUGAUUAAUACCAUAACUACUUGUAGAUUUGGAGGCCCAUAUAUUUUAGAGGUCCUGAGCAGACGUGCACCUCGCGCAUGCGACGGGCCUGAAGCGGAUAUGCCAUCCCAUCCGUAGCAUUAAAUGAAGGGUUAAAUGAAGCGCUUAGCGAUAAACCGUAUAAUAAUAUCAACCAGUUAAUUACUCGAUCGGUACUGAGUCUAGUGUCAUGAUGGCACGCAUGGCUGGCGCAACUAGGCAUAUGACGUGACAGCUAGCUCGAUCAGCAGUACGGCACAAACAAGUCCAACUAAACUUGCUGAUCUGUUAGGUAUAGUAACCGGAAGGCACGUUUAAUUAGGUAUGUGUUCAUAUUAACUGCCCAUAUGAAAUGUAGUAAUCCACCUUGUGUAGUUUUAUAGACAGAACAUAGCUAGGAAUGAAUUGAGACAAGUCAUGACCGAUCGAGCUCCCAAAAUAGCCUGAAAUGUCCGCGCAUGUAGCGGCCGCGAAACAGAAGGAAAUCAUGGAAAAGGGAGGGUGUGCCUAGUAACAAGGGGAACAAUUGAGUCAGGAGAGAGAGAGCCUGCAGCCGUCGGCGUCCGUCCCAAAUAUAAUUCCGAUAUUAAUUUACCGUACGUGGGUGGCAGGGGUGGACGAGGUGCCGGACUUCGUUUUCCUGGCGCACGUGGUGGACGUGAUGCAGUCGAUGCACGUGCCGUUCGUGAUGCGCACCUUCUCGUCGACGCCGUUCGCGGUGCGGGCCUUCCUCGUGCCGCUGUGGCCCAUAGCCUUCGUCUUCAUGCUCAUGGUGUGGGCCUGGUCCAAGACAUUCGUCAUCUCCUACUACCACCUCCGCGGCAAGCUGCACCAGAUGUGGGCCGUCCCGAGAUACGGCUUCCACGUACGUACCCGGCCCCGGCCCGUUCACUACAGCUUCUAUCAGAUGUGGGCUCUGAAUGAAUGUUCUUUGCUGACGAUCGAUCUCUUUGUCUACAUGCAUGCAGUACUUCUUGCCUUUCGCCAAGGACGGCAUCAACUAUCAGAUCGAGCUUGCCAUUCUGAGGGCUGAAAGAAUGGGUGUCAAGGUCGUUAGCCUUGCAGCUCUGAACAAGGUUCGUUAAUUCUUCCCUUCCAAUGUCGAUCAGAAGCCGGCCAAGCGCACGACGCUUGCCGGAUUCAGCUGCAAUGCAGACACGAUGUGGCCUAAUUAAUUAGCUAAUAUAAGUACAAGUGAUUGAUGUGUGCAGAACGAGGCGCUCAACGGCGGUGGAACGCUCUUCGUGAACAAGCAUCCGGACCUCCGCGUGCGCGUCGUCCACGGCAACACCCUGACAGCCGCGGUGAUCCUCAACGAGAUCCCCAAGGGCACAACCGAGGUGUUCAUGACGGGCGCCACGUCCAAGCUCGGCAGGGCCAUCGCGCUCUACCUGUGCCGGAAGAAAAUCCGCGUCAUGGUACGUAAACUAAUACUGCAAACUGCGCUUACAACAGAAAUCAAGUGUAAUCUAAUUUAUUAAACGGCCAGUAGCUAAUGGCACGUUCACAUAUAUGUGCAGAUGAUGACGCUGUCGACGGAGCGGUUCCAGAAGAUCCAGAAGGAGGCGGCGGCGGAGCACCAGCAGUACCUGGUGCAGGUGACCAAGUACCGGUCGGCGGGGCAGUGCAAGACGUGGAUCGUGGGGAAAUGGCUGUCGCCGCGGGAGCAGCGCUGGGCGCCGCCCGGGACGCACUUCCACCAAUUCGUGGUGCCCCCGAUCCUGGGCUUCCGCAGGGACUGCACCUACGGCAAGCUCGCGGCCAUGCGGCUCCCCAAGGACGCCAGGGGCCUCGGCUCCUGCGAGUUCUCCCUGGAGCGCGGGGUGGUGCACGCCUGCCACGCGGGCGGCGUCGUGCACUUCCUCGAAGGCUACACGCACCACGAGGUGGGCGCCAUCGACGUCGGCCGCAUCGACGUCGUCUGGGAGGCGGCGCUCAAGCACGGCCUUCGCCCCGCCUGAAUGCCUGAUCGAUCGAUCUCCCCUUCGUCCAACCAGGGCCCAAAAUAGGCCCAACACGUACCCAAGAUCUUCGUUACUAGGCCGGAUUUUUUUUUCUCGACAUAUGUUACAACUCGAUCGUGUACGUGUGACAUGUGGUGGUUCCUAAUUAAACGAUUCGAUUUACUGCUGUGCUGUUUUGAGAGGGGGAAAAAAGUGGAUGGAAGUCUAGGAGUUGUACACAUAUUACUACAAUGUACGCAUGGAAAGAGUACGCUACGGGGUUGCAUGGAUAUACAAAUACGAGAGAAAAUACUAUUUGCAUUAUCAUACUGCUCAGCUUUCUUCUUUUUUGAACACCCACUACAACAAAUACGCAGAACACUAUCAUCGGUAUUCCCUGCGAUUCAUAAUAAAUAUCGGCGAUUUAGUACAAAGAUAGUGCUAAAACUUUACUAAAUCCCGACACUUAUUAUGCAUCGGAGGAAGCUAUUACAACAGAAGAUGGUAGUUAAUAAUGUUUCGAGGUUGACGAAGCUAUCUUUGGCAGCAGGGGCGGAGCUUGAGAAAAAAAAACCGAGUGCACAACUUUGACGUUCACAAGAUUUUAUAUGCAAUUUUAGCAAAAAAUACUACUUAACAAUAAUUUGUUGUACAAUUUUUAGAAUAAUAGGUAUAUUAACAUAACGAAAGAUGUAGCAUACGGGAGGAGCCAAAAUACAUCAUCCAAACUCAAGCACUCGCCACUCGGUAACCGUAUAAAAUUAACAAAACUCUAGAUUUUCAUGUAAAAAAUAGGAAAAUAUUCAAAUAAAAUUAGUUAGAUAAGAAUGUUGCCUUUCAAUAGGUGGUACCUUGCGUUGUGGUGGGGAUGGUCGUACGUUCUGAACUUAGGCUUACUUUGCGGUACCUAAACCAUAUCAUAAUAAACUUAUUACUGUACAUUCAAAAGUAGAAAAGAAAUUCAGCUACUCACUCACAUCAAUAUUAAUUGUAUCAAAUUCGUCCAAAUAUGGAUAUAUUAAUGUCUAAAAAGCGUCUAGAUAUAUGUAAUAUUUCGACAAGUAAAAUGGAUCGGAGGGAGUAGCUUUUUUAAACAGAAAUUCAGUUAGCUAUAAUCAAUAAAUAAAAUAGACUUAAGCGAGUGCAGCAUUUUUUUUGGGAGCGGAAAGUGAGUGCAGCAAAAAGAAUCAUUAGAACCAAUCGCAAAAUUUAAUUCAGACUUAGUGGGCCGGUUGGUGGUAUUAUUAAUUGGGCCCGUUUAAACUGCAAUCCAUAGAUGCUCAGUUGGAGGCCCAGCCAAAGCCAUAACGAGGAAGAGGAACCCAAACCUAAACCCAAAUAUCCAAACACCGAGCACGCCGAUCUCCACCCGCAGCAGCGGCCGUCGGGGCUCGCCUCCCCUUCCUACCCGUUUGGUGGUUCUCGGCCGACCUUCGCGUUCCCGCAGGUUCGUACUCCUCCCCGCGUUCUCCACACAUCGAGGGGUGGGAACCAGGAACUGUCGGGACUAUUACUUGGUGUGCGUGUGUGUUGGGUACUUGGGUAUGGAAUUGGAUCGGCGUAGCAUUCUACUUUGCAGUUUUUGCACACAGGGUGUAGAAUGAGCGCAAGCAGGGUUCUAAUCAAAUGUUCCUUGUUAAGAUCCGAUAAGAAGCUUAUUUGUUCUCGCAAAAAGAAGAAGAUUUUUUUCUAUUGAAUUGCUUGAAUGAAGAUUGUAAUGUGUGGCAGAAUACUGUUCAUAUUUUAUGAUUUUUAUGUAUAGUUCAUAUGGCAGGGAUACUCAUAUUAUACUUGUUGUAUUUGCAGAUUUGCAUCCUUCAGGUAUUGGCAAUAUAAGGGUAAUGGAAGUUUUGUGCUCAUGAUCUAUGUCUUAAUGAUGUAUUUCCGUUUUGUUAUGUGCCCAACUGAGCUCAUCAAUCGAGAAUUGAGAUGGCCUGUACUUCUUUUGUUCUCCGUGCUCCACCUAGAGGUAUUUGUAAAAUUUUAUGAUGCCUGGUAAGAGCCAGUACGACAGUACUCCCCUGUGUCCCAUCAUUGUUUGACACCAGUAAUGUUUUCUUUUUGAGCUUGUUACACUGCCUUUCUAGUGAUAGUCGGUAGCAUUAAAAGCACAUAACCUAGUUCAGCUGGCAGCAUGAAAAGUGCAUAGCCUACUUCAUGAGACAAUUUAAUUAUUGCACUUCCCAUGUGAUAUAUCUUUGGGUCUAAUGUGGCUAGCCGUACAAAUCAUGAGCUUGUGGGGGCAAGCAUGGACAAUAAUGAGAUCUUGUCCUAUCCAACAUGGUUGAUAUAUGACCACCGAUUGUGCUGAGCUUUAUUUGUGAGGUAAUGGUCAUGACUCAGGCCUGAUAUUUUCCCUGUGUGAAUGUGUGAUCUACAAGGAUAUAGUGACGCUGAUUAAUUGUGCGAAAUAUUUCAUAUGGAAGUACUUCAUCACUGGGGUGUAAAUUAGACAGGCUUAGGGCAUCCCCAAAGGUAGUCAGUCACUGACUCUUUGUACUCCCCACAUCACCUACAGUCAACAGUAAAAAAACUACCAUGAGUUGAGUCUUAAGCUAACUCUACAUGUAUUGUUAACAUUGAAUAUGAUGGUGUAACAUUGUCGACUCCUCGGUUGACAGAAUUACAGGUCUGAAUUCAGGAUCAGCUCCUCAUUUGCACUUGUUGGGAUAAACUAGCUCGUUAAUUUAUAUGCAAAUUACGUGUAGGAUGUUAAAUAACCCCUGUUAGAUGAUGGAUUUUUAUGUUGCGGGUGAAUAUUUUUAAAGGGAUCACAUGCCUCAAUCAAUUCACAGUUCAUUUUUCCCGAUGAUCAAAAGUUAAUAGCUAUAUGUAUCAACUUGAAAUAUCAUCCUAAUUUCGUGUUGCAAUACAUGUAUCAUGUUUUCUUGUCUUCAUACCAUCAGCUGUGGUAAUAGAGUAUUUUCAUUGCCAGACUCAUGUUUAACUUAAAUCAAGGAUAUUCAAAGCCCAUGAGUUCUGUGCACUAACCACAUUACCAUUAAUCACAAGAAGCUUGAUUCAGCCAAUGCUCUGAGUUUGAUUCCAACAGUGCUUUUCGAGUUAGGCAAUCCCAUGUGACUUAAAAUUCAACCAAGUUUUCUGUUUAGCUAGAAUCCCCAGCUUGGACAACCAUUUUGCGGUCUUUUCUCUAAAAUUAUCAAACCAAAGCUAUUAGCUUCUCCAAAAUGCUAAUGAUGUGAAACUGUUUGCAUUUGACUCUAUAUGUCACACGGGUUUUAUCCCCGUACGAAUUCAAAAUGAGUAUUAAAGAAAUCCCAAUUGGUUUGUCUAAUGGACCUAGGCUUGUAAGAUUAGGCUUACCCCAAAAUUGAACCAUUAAUGGCUGGGUGCUAUGUGUUUGUCGUUGGUUUUGGUUGUGCUUAUUGCUGCCACUUCAGCUGAAACUUGUCUAUGAUAGACAAUUGUGUUUAUAGCUGCCACUUCAGCUGAUACCUGUCUAUGAUGGACAGUCUAAAUUGCAGUACCAGAGACACGUGCUCACACAUGGAUGGGCUCCAUGUGUUUCAAUAAAGUCAUGCAGUUCCCUGGAGUUGUACCAUUAAGGUACAGGGGACCUUGGCAUUAUAAUUAUAUGCAUCGGGUUGUACCUCAUUUUCAGGGCACUUUUUGAAAGAUUUGUCAACAGCCACACAGGGCUAAUAGCAGGAUCAGGCAUUAUGCUGUUUAAAUAAUUAUAUGUGAUAUUAGUUUUAGAUUGAUAGCGCAUUCCCUAGCAAAAAUGAUUUUCCCCUGUUCCAAAAGGAUCUUGCACCAUACAAAGCAAGAAGAAAUGUGGUUGUUGACUGGUUGCUCGUUGCCCUUGUUUUAUGCGUUGCAUAUCUGCAUCCUCUGAAAGUGUGCAGAUUGUUUUUUCUGAUAUUCUUGUUUCUUGUUUGAUGAAGGGAGUUCGAUUGAUCUGUGACCACGUGUGGUGCUUUGUCAUUUUAGAAAAUGGAAGAUGAAAAGGGCAGUAUGAGAUGCUUGUGUGAAAUGAUUGUCUUGUUUGUGUUGCACAUGAGAAGCUGUGAUGCCAACUAUUGGCCGAUGUCCACACAGUGUCUGUUACUCUGGCAUCUGAGGUUAUGCAAAAGAUCCUAGCAUCACAUAUGAAAUAUGUCAGGCUUAUUCAGUAGCUAUAAUGUUAUGAGCAGCACUAGUGGUUUUUUGGCUAGCUAGCUGACGAAAUAUUUGUUGUGGCUAUGCUGUAAAUAGGGAAUUUUACUAUUGGGGCCAGAUUAGCUGGGUUCGUUCCCGUAUACUCUGGGAAAAAGUGGGUUGAGAAAAACUGAUGCCAAACCAAGCCACAGAAGCACGACAGCAUGUUGAAGAAAUGCAUUGACAUUUUUGCUUCGUGUGCAUCAAGUCAAGUACUGGGUGAAUCAAGCGUCUUGUGAUUAAUGGUAAUGUGGAGAUGUGAUAAUAUCACUCAAGGUGAUGAUGCCAUGGCAUGCCCACUCACAUCAUUUGGUGAGUAUUCUUUUCUUUUUUUUGCUUUGAUGUAUUCUGUUUGCCGAACUCAGACUAGAAAAAAUCGGUUCCCCCCAGAACUAGUCAUUAGAGUAGAACGAUCACGGACCGUGACUUUUAAUGGAAUUGUUAUCUUUUGCAGGUGGGCGUAUCAGAGAAGGAUUGUUACUAGCACAGAGGCAUGCUUGAGUUGCUUGGACAUAUGCAUGUGUGUACGUUAGUGCGGAAAUAUUAAAAUAUUAGCAAGUUAUAACAUAUAAUUUUAUUCUCCUGUUUUCUGUUUCAGUUUAUUGCAGACUUGCAGUUCAAUGACACAACUAUAUGGCACUGCAUCAAACUUCAGCAAGCUGCAAACCACUUUUAGUCUGUCAUGCCCAAUAUCUAACAUGUCAGUAAUAUGGAAAAUAGUGAAACUACUCCUUGGCAUGUGUCAAAGCUUUUCACAUGUUUCAGUUCAGUAGAAGUUCUGGCAAUGUUGCCUUAUACUGUAGCUACUCCAUCUUGUGCAACCUCAACUAUAUGUAAGACUGUUGCAGUACUUUUAAGUUAGAUUUACUUCAGAGGCAGCUCUUACAAGUUUUGGCUAAUGCUGUUGGGCGUGAUGGUAUGCUACCAUUAGAAUAUGAUGUUAACAUGUCAUGUACUUCCUCCGAUCCUAAAUUGUUGUCGAAAUAUUACAUGUAUCUAGACAUUUUUUAAGAAUUGGUACAUCCAUAUUUGGGCAAAUUUGAUUCAAGAAUUUAGUAUCAGAGGGAGCAGACUGUAUUCUAGGAAAGACUUGAUAUGUUGGAUAUAGUAAGUUAUCGGACUCCUCUGAUCGUCCUUUUACGUGCCAUGGUGUAUCCACCAUCAAAACUUAUGAGCAUUAUUGCAGUUCCGUUGCUUGUUGCUGUCGGACACCUGGUUCUUAAGGGUUCACGUGAGGAGUUAGACUUUAAAGUAGCAAGUGGACAGUGGUUAGUGAUGAUCUGGAGAGAGACCAGUCAAGGCUUAUUUACUUGCUAGCUGAAAAGAUUGAGAAACAUCGGCGAACACUGAUUUUGGGACGCUUCAUAAAUGGGACGAUACUAAGGUGAGAUCUGUCAUGAAUGUAACUUCUAUAAUAAUCAUGGUAUCAUCUGUUGUGAUUUAUUGUCGCACCAGUGGCACCUGGGGUGCCACCGUUGCACGACGCGUGGGUCGCAUCGACUGGGUUCCCGGAAGGAUCUCACCUCGGGCGGCAGCGUGCAGUCUGCCCGGCAAGCUACCAGCCCGGCAGGACUAGCGGGGUUUCUGGGAAUAAUCCCGCCUGGGCACCUCCUGGGAAGGCACUUGUCGGAAGGAGGCGUUCCCGGGCGCAGGUUUCCGCCGUGAGGGCGGGGCCGAGUGAGCAGAACAGCAGCGCCACGUGGGCGCGCGGCAAGCGCCUAGUGUGCAGUUUCGUCAGGACAAGGAGUAAGGCGCACAACGCAUUUAAUGAGUCGACAGGAGGGACGUUAUCUGUUUAGUCGGGCAAACAGUGGCUGCCCAGGGUUAGUUUUUAGGUCUUAGACCCCUAGCCGCGGGGUUGGCACUCAUGCAUGCAUGCCAGCGCACUGAGGAGAGGCUGCUCUAGCUCCUUGCUCGCCACUUGCUAUAAAUGGAGGACCCCCGUCAACGGUCGAAGGGUUCGGGUCGGUUCUGUUCGGUGUUCCGGAAAAACAACCCAUAGUUCAGCACUAACCCAGAGUAGUAAGCAGCACUUAGCCAAAAAGAGAGCACCCGGGGAUUCUGCCCCCGGCAACCUGUAAACACUCAAUCUUCAGAUAAUACAAGCUCAGACAAGCAGGACGUAGGGUUUUACACCUCCGGGUGGCCCGAACCUGGGUAAAAAGCGUGUGCAUUCGUGUUCAUUGCAUUCUUACGCUUCGCAUUGGCCCCGCCGGCGAUCGCCGGGGCGAUCCCUGUAGCCCACUGCUGAACCUAAAAGAAGGUGCCCGUGCAUCUCCGGUGUCGGAGCCCCGUGCGACGACAUCUAGCGCACCAGGUAGGGGGGGGGGGGGGCGUGAGGAGAGCACGCCGGUGACCGCCAGCGGUGACGUCUACACCAGCAUCGGCCUCGUCUUUCUUGACGACAGAGCCGGCCACCAUGCCCCCCAAGCGGGCUGGUGACUCGAGGAUCGACCCACGUGCGGCCGCAGCGGCGCACACGCGGUCACACGACGUGCCACGCGCGUCGCAGGAGUAGGGUGAUACUAAGCCUGCCCGAGCGCAGCGAUCACAGCUGCCACCGCCGCCUCCUCGAUCGUCGGCUGACAACCGGUCGAGAGGACCGGCGGCUCCCAGCACCAGAGCCAGCCGCGCGAGCGGCUACAACGCCGCCCGCGCCCUACAGCGGGGCGACCCGCGAGCCGACGAACCGCAGCAGCGGCAGCAGCCGCACGAGGAGCACGGAGCGUCGCGGGCGAUGCCGACCGGCUCGUGUCCGGCUCAACCGAGGGCGUCCGGGGGUAGAGGGGAGGGCAGCCGCUCGGGAAACCGGCAGCCUCCCGCGCAAACCCUGGCGGAGGCCAUCAUCGCCGCGCGAGUCAUGGUGCGCUACGAGCCGCCCCAGGGCACGCCGGCGCACGAGGCAUGGAGCGCGGAGCUGGAUGCGCUCCUCGCGCUCGCCGCCCAACAGCCACAGGGCGAGUGCGGCCCGGCAGGCUCCGGCCACGGGCAGAACCCGGGGCGCGGAGACGUGCCCCACGCCUCGUAACAAGGGGAAAACCCUCCCCCGCAUGGAGGCCCGGGGGGGGGCGGGGACCCGGAGGGGUCCUCUGACUUGUCACCCACCGUCACGCGAGGUGACGCGCGCGGCAUCUUGAAUGCCCGCCAGCAGGAGCAUCUGCGUCAGCGCCUGGAGAGCUGGCGCCGGCGCGAGGUAGAGCGCCAACGCCCGCAGGAGCAGGAGGAUCCUAUGAGCUCCGAGGACGGCCGCAUUGCGUUCACGCACGAGUUGCGGCGGGUGACAUGGCCCCGCAAGUUCCGAGCGCCUGCGCUCGGUACGUACGAUGGGACCGUGAAUCCCAAGGAUUUCCUCCUGACCUACACGUUGGGGAUGCAUGCCAUCGGCGCCAACGACAAGGUCAGAGCCAACUGGUUCCCGAUGGUCCUGAAAGGAUCAGCGAGAACCUGGCUGCUCAACCUGCCUGUUGGGUCCAUCGCCACUUGGGCGGACCUGCGCGAGCAGUUUGUGAGCGCGUUCCAGGGCGGCAACAAGCGUCCGGGAACCAUGGCGGAGCUGCACACUGUAGUGCAGAAGCCGGGAGAGACGCUGCGGAGCUUCUUCAACCGCUUCUCCAGUCUCUCCUACUCCAUCCCGAAGGCGGAGGCUGCCGCCAUCGUCAACACCUUCGCCAUCAACGUCCGCGACCCCAAGAUGCGCGAGAAGCUGAGCACGCAUCGGAUCCGGACGACGCAGGAUCUGUACGCCCUGGCGCACAAGUGUGCCAUGGCCGAGGAAGGGCGCUUAGCGCCCGAACUUGCAGCUAAGGCUGCCGUGAGCCCAGGCAAGGGUCGCAGAAGAAGAGUUCCCGCAAGCGCAGCGGGAAGCAAGUCCUCGCCGCAGAGUCGGGGGUUGCUGCGAGGCCUGCGAAGAAGGCCUCGCCCGGCGGCGGGUCUGGUUGCAAGCAGGGCGACGCGUCCCGCUGCCCCAUCCACGCCAACUCUACCCACGACGCGCAGGACUGCCGCAUCCUGCAAGGUAUCAAGCAGUGGCGCGAACAGCGCCACGAGGAUCGCCGGGCAGCCGGUGCCUGCUUCAACCGCGGCGACAUCGGGCACCUGUCUCGAGAUUGCCCGAACGACCCCAGAGCGGGGCCGAAGCCUGCCGGCGGCAACGUGGGCAGGGAGGAAGCCCAGGGGGGACGCGGCCAAGCCCACGUUGGCAGGGAGCUCCCUCCCCGGAGACGGGACAGGGCUCGUGCUGAGGAGCAGCGCGAGUCUGACUGCACUGGCAGCGACGAGCCGGGCUUCCAGGAGCCCGCAGCGUCGCCUGCAUCCAUGGGGGAGCUUACGCUCUCCCAUCUCAUGCCGCGGUGAAGCGCCUCACUCGCGACGUGUGCACGCUGUUGCUGAACGCGGAGCCGCAGCAGCCGCUGAGUUGGUCGCACGUGUUGAUCACCUUCAGCGCCGACGAUCACCCAGCGGGGCAGUUGGGUUCAGGGGUCAUACCCUUCGUGGUCUCACCGAUCAUUAGCAACCUGACGGUGACCAAGGUGCUGGUGGACAACGGAGCGGGGCUGAACCUCCUGUCCGUCAGGUGAGUGGAGAAGCUGCAGUUGCCGGUGGAGCAGCUGAAGCCCACUGACCCGUUCCGGGGGGUAAACCCCAGGAUCGUGCACCCUCUGGGGCGCAUCACACUCUCGGUGACAUUCGGGUCCCGGAAAGCGUUCAGGACCAAGCACAUAGUGUUCGACGUGGCGCACACCCUGUUGCCCUACAACGGGAUCCUUGGUCGGCCGGCGCUGAUCAAGUUCGUGGCGGCGAUGCAUUGCGCCUACGGCGUGAUGAAGAUGCCGUCCGUGUACGGCGUCCUCUCCAUCAGGUGCGACCUCAAGGACGCAGCCUGGUGUCUUGGUGAGGUCGUCAGGGCCGCCGCCGCAGCCGCCGCCGAUGACGAGGACGUUGCCGGAGAUGAAGGCUCGUCGGGUGACGGCCCGACAUCUAAGAAGGCCCGCGCUGCCCUGCAGGAGCUUGCCGGGGGAAGCGCAGGCUCGAGCUCGUGCCCCGGCAAGGGCCAGAAGCUCCGGGAGGAGGCCGCCAAAGUGAAGAAGCUGCCCCUCCAAGCCGGCAACAAGGAGCGCACCGUCACCGUCGGUACGAAUCUUACUGCCGAAUAGGAAAACACCCUCAUCACUUUCCUCCGGGAGAAUGCCGAUGUGUUUGCUUGGGAGCCGUUGGACCUUCUCGGAGUCCUUAGGGAGGUGAUUGAGCAUCUACUCGCGGUGCGCUCGGACGCCCGCCCCGUCAAGCAGAAGAUCCGCCGGCAAGCCAGAGCGCAAAGAUUUCAUCAAGCAGGAGGUGGACAAGCUCAAGGCUGCAGGGGCUAUCAGGGAAGUUCUGUACCCCACUUGGUUAGCUAACCCUGUAGUAGUGCCCAAGGCGGGGUAUAAGCUUCGCAUGUGUGUGGAUUUUACUGAUCUUAACCGCGCAUGUCCCAAGGAUCCUUUUUCUGUACCCCGUAUCGAUGAAAUAGUUGAUUCUACUGCUGGUUGCGACUUGCUGAGCUUUCUAGAUGCUUUUUCCGGCAACCAUCAAAUUAAGAUGGCGGUUGAAGACGAGGAGAAAACAGCGUUCAUCACCCCGGUUGGCUGCUACUGUUACACGUGCAUGCCUUUCGGGUUGAAAAACGCGGGCUCAACAUUCCAGUGCACGCUGCGCGAGUGUUUGGGACCCCAGCUAGGCCGCAACGUGGAGGCCUACAUGGACGAUAUCGUCAUCAAGUCGAAGCGCGGAGACUCGCUGAUUGAUGACCCGCAGGAAAUGUUUGAUAACCUCCGCAUGAUCAAACUCAAGCUGAACCCUGAGAAGUGCACCUUUGGUGUAGACUCAGGCCAGCUUCUGGGUUUUUUGGUUUCGCACAGGGGGAUACAAGCCAACCCGCGCAAAAUAUAAGCUAUCGAGAAAAUGGAGGCUCCCCACAAGGUGAAGGAUGUCCGGCGCCUCAACGGCUGCGUUGCCGCGCGGGGCCGCUUCAUCUCGAGGCUGGGCGAACGUGCCCUGCCUUUCUUCAAGGUGAUGAAGCAGAAGGGCCCAAUUGAUUGGACCCCCGAGGCCGAGGCAGCGUUCCAGGAUCUCAAGCAGUACCUGGUGUCGUCGCCCGUCCUCGUCGCCCCUAAGCCGGGCGAGCCGCUGUUACUCUACCUAACAGCGACUGACUAGGUGGUCAGCUCGAUGCUGGUUGCUAAAAGGGAGGAAGACGUUCCGGAGACUGAGGCUAUGGGGCAGGGGGCUGAACGGCCCCCGGCAACCGCCUUGGACCCAGGGACCACCCUCGAGCCGGCAGCGUCGGCACCGCGCAAGCGGCUCGGGGAGCACCUAGUGUACUUCGUCAGCACGGUGCCGCGCAACGCCUGUACAAGGUACCAGAAGCUCCUCCUGGGGAUUCUGCUCGCGUCCCGCAAGCUGCGCCACUACUUUCAGGCGCACCGCGUCACGGUGGUGUCGGGGUUCUGCCUUGAGCGAGCCCUCACCAACCGUGAAGCCACCGGGAGGAUGGCCGAGUGGAGGAUGGAGCUGUCGGAGUUCGAUCUGCACUUCACCAACUCCAAGAGCAUCAAGAGUGCGGCCCUGGUAGACUUCGUCGUGGAGUGGACGUCGACGGGUGUAGAACAGGAGGAGCCGGAGACCAGCCUGUCGGGCAGGCUGGACGAGGGCCCCUUGAUCCUGUACUUUGACAGCGCGUUCAGCCUCCAAGGAGCUGGCGCUGGGGUCGUCAUCGAGUCACCGACGGGAGAUCAGUUGAGGUUUGCUAUCCAACUCAAUUUCCCGAACUCCACUAACAACACGGCAGAGUACGAGGGUUUGCUCGCCGGGUUGCGGGCAGCUAUGGCCCUGGACAUCAAGCGCCUGGUCGUUCGCGGGGACUCCCAGCUCGUGAUCAACCAGAUUAACAAGGACUACGACUGCCCGCAGAUGGCACCGUACGUGGAGGAAGUCGGCAAGUUAGAACGCAAGUUCAAGGGUUUGCGAUUCGAACACGUCAAGCGGAAGGACAACUUCGCGGCUGACGAGCUAUCCAAGAUGGCAGUAGAACGCCGGAAGUCUCCGGCGGGGGUGUUCUGGCACAGGCAAGCUGCGUCCUCAGUCGCCCCCGAGCUGGCUGCCGGGGAAGCCCCUCCGGCAACCGAAGGAAACCCCGCAACAGCAGGGGUCCAUGCCGCUGACGUAGCGGCAUGCGUUGGCAGGGAAACCCCUCUCUGGGCGGUGGAAAUCGCCCGUUACCUGAAGGGACAGGCCCUCCCGGAAGACAACGUCGCCGCGGAGCGAGUGGCCUGGCAAGCCAAAAUGUACGCCGUGGUGGACGGGAACCUCUACCGCAGGCACGCAAAUGGAGUCAAGCGCCUCUGCGUGCCCCAAGAUGAAGAGCGCGCACUGUUGGAGGAGAUACAUCGAGGCACAUGCUCCCACCAUGUGGCCUCCUGGGCGCUGGCCGGCGAGGCGUUUCGGCACGGUUUCUACUGGCCCACGGCCCUGGCCGACGGGGAGCAGAUGGUGAAGACGUGUGAGGCGUGCCAGUUCCACGCGAAGAAGAGCAACCAGCCGGCGGGCCCUGCAGGUCAUCCCGUCCUCGUGGCCAUUCGCGGUCUGGGGGCUGGACAUCGUCGGCAAGCUGCCGAGAGUGGUUGGCGGCUACGAGUACUUGCUCGUGGCCAUCGACAAAUUAUCCAAGUGGGUGGAAGUGGAACCAGUGCGGAAGGUGACCGCCCAGGCGGCCAUCAAGUUCUUCAAGAGCAUUGUGUGCCGGUUUGGUGUGCCUAACGGCAUCAUCACCGAUAACGGCACGCAAUUCACGAGCGCGGUGUUCCAGGCCUAUUGCGAGGGCAUGGGCACCAAGAUACACUUUGUGUCUGUUGCUCACCCAAGGAGUAACGGGCAGGCGGAGCGAGCCAACACGGAAGUGCUGCGGGGGCUCAAGACGAGAACCUUUGACAAGCUCAAAGGCCACGGGAAACACUGGGUCGAAGAACUCCAGCCCGUGCUAUGGUCAAUAAGGACCACACCUAGUAGGGCAACGGGCGAAAAUCCUUUCGCCCUUGUCUACGUGGCAGAAGCGGUACUGCCCCUCGAGCUCAAGCACGGAUCUUCCCGAGUACGCGCGUACGGCAACUCCAGCCAACACGAGCAAAGGGUUGACGAUCUGAACUUCAUCGAAGAGCUUCGAUGCCGGGCUGCUGUGCGAGCCGCACGCUACCAGCAGGGACUCCGUCGUUAUCACAACAAGCGAGUCCGUCCCCGGGGGCUCGAGAACGGAGACCUUGUCCUGCGCCGGAUACAAGGAACGAAGGCCGAGAACAAGUUGACUCCGAAAUGGGAGGGCCCCUUCCGGGUAGUGCAGGUGACCAAGCCGGGGGCUGUCCGGCUGGAAACCGAAAAAGGCUUGCCGGUGCAAAAUAGCUGGAAUAUUGAGCACUUGCGCAAGUUCUACCCGUGAAGCGGCGGAGCCCGACCCUCAGGUGAUGCCGCCGAUGCAUACCUCUCGAACUAGUGUAGCAGGGCAGCCCCCGUGUGUAAACCACUAGUUACAGUGAAUAAAGAUAAGUGAUGUUUCCUGAAUAUUAAGUUUGCCUCGUUUAUUUGCAUAUUCCUUUCACUUCUGUCUCCUGCUUUAGGUGCACAGAAGUCUCUUUCCAUACUUGGUUGUGAGCAAGGGGCUGCCGGAGCCUUGAAAACGUUAACCCGUGGGCGGAUCACUCCGGCACGGGGCAUGCAGUUGCCGGGUUUCCGGCAACGUGCAUCACGGCACGCAGUUGCCGGGCUUCCCGCAACGUGCAUCAUGGCAUGCAGUUGCCGGGCUUCUCGCAACUUGCAUCACGCAGUCGCUGCGUCUGGAAAAUAAAAGUGCUCACAUCCAAGUUUGGCAUUGACCCUUCUGUGCCCACGGGCUGGGAGGCAGGAGAGUUAUCUGUACUGCGCUGUGUUUUCGUGAAUUUCGAAAAAAAUUUGUAGCAUCUCGGGCUUGGUAAGAAUCUAAUGUGCAGGGUAAAGGUGGAAUCUUGCGCACUGUAAUGCUCGUGGACCGCCCACGGGUCGCGGCGUGUAGCAGCGUCUUGUGGUGCGGAGCGACCGCAUCACGAGAGACUCGAUGCACUUCGAGGCCCCCGAUUCAGGAGGAAACCGCCACGUGUGCCACGACAACUUGGCAUGCGGAGUGGCGAAGGCCGUACCGCACUCCAAGAGGCGGGGCGCCACGUAUGCUGCGUUGACUUGGCACGCGUGGUGGCAAGCCCCUCCCCCCCGCCUAUAAAAGGGGCGCCCUGGCUGUGGAACAGCUCAGAGCACAGCCAAGAGGCUGCGAAGGUGGACGGUGCCACAGAGGCGCGAUGGUGGUGCAUGCCAUCAGCGCCCAGCGCCGACGGGUGCACCACCGUCACGCCCUUGCCGCAUCCCUCCACCGAGCCCACUCUGAGGGGUGCCGCAGAGACACGGUGGUGGCGCAUCCCACCCGCGCUCGGCACCGGUGGGUGCACUGCCGCCAUGUCCUUGCCACACCUCCUCUAGUGAGCGGCUCCGGUGCGAGGGUUGCCGCGGAGGCACUGUGGUGGUGCAUUCCAUCAGCGCUCAGCACUGACGAGUGCACUACCGCAGUGCCCCUGCCGCAUCCCUCCAGAGGGUAUCUCCGCAGGGAGCGAGGGUUACCGCGGAGACACUAUGGUGGUGCAUGCCAUCAACGCUCAGCGCCGACGGGUGCACUGCCAUAGUGUCCCUAUCGUACCCCUCCAGAGGGCGCCUCUAGAGGCGAGGGUUGUCACGAGGACGUUGUGAUGGCGCCGGUGCCGGCGUUCGCCGUUCACUCCGGCCCACCACAACGUCCCUGCUGCAUCCCUCUGGUAGACUUUCCCCAAGCAGCGAGGGCUGCUGCGGGGAUGCCGUGAUGUCUUCGCCACCCGCGUGCCGGUGGUGGCGAGAAUGUCACGGCAUCCCUACUGCACCCCUCGGAGCAGGUUCCUCCGAAAGCAAGGGCUCUUCCAAAGGCGAGGGUCGCUGCGGAGACGCGGCGGUAGCAUCAUCAUCGGUGCUUGUCGCCGGCGGCGAUCCUGCUGCGGCGUUCCUGCCGCAUCCCUCAAACAGGCUCUCUCAAGGGCGGCGCAUCAGGCGCACACCUUCGGCAAGCGUACCGAGCACGAGACCGAAUAAAAAGCUAAGUGCUUGAACCUGAACGAUAGACUCUCUGAGAACUAAACGUAACUGAACGCUGCCUCGCCAGGUGUGGCCCCGAAACCUGUGUGUGGCCGGGGUGUUAGAGGGACGCUUGCGGGGGGAGUGUGCUCCCCGUGCGGCUUCCGGGUCCGUCCCGGGAGGGCAUGGCUUGCAGUAGUUACCCCGCAAGUGGAGUGGCUCGCCGCUGCUGCUUGACCCCAGGUCGGCACUGCGGGUCCGUCCCGCGUCCUUGGUCCGGUCAAGAGUGAGGCGCGCGAGUCCCCGGCAACACAAAGCACAACACACAAGGGCGAAGGGAUCCACCCCGCGAGGCAGCCUCGGGAACAAGGAACAAGGGUUAAACAUGACUAAAGAGCUGGAUUAACAAAGUAGCAAAUGAUUACAUGAACUAAUGAAACGGUAAUUGUUCAAACGGCGCCAAGCGCCAUGCUUGCAGGAACGAAAACAAAAGAAGGUAAACAAGGAAACGGCAAGGGCCAGUAAGUGGUUGCGGCGGCUAGUUGCCGGCAUCCUCCGUCGGUGGCUCCGGGGACGGCUCGGGGUCCGGCUUCCGCUGCAUCCACUCGACGACCUCGUCGACGAACCCUUUCACCGCCUGGGUGUGGGUAGGUUCGUCCUCGCUGUCCGACCAGGCGUCCAGCAGCGUCUCGAAGGGGAACUCCGGAUCCCGGAGGUGCACCCUCAGAAGGAUCGUCCCGGCAACCUCCCGGGCGCAGUUGGCAACCUCGUCAGCGCCGAACUUGGCGAUCCAGACGUCGAGCGCCCCGAACUUCCCCACCAAGUCGGAGAAGAACGGGAUCAGCGUGGAGACGUCCGUGCCAUCCACCUCCGCGGUCUGCAGCUCGAACUGAGGCAGCAGGUCGCGUAGCGCUUGGGCGAUCUUGAGCAGCUUCUCGGUCUCCAGCUGCCGUUCCCCGAUCAACGUGUCGUGGUGGAGCCGGGCGUCGUGCAUAGCCUUCUUGGCCUUCCGGAGGCGGCUCGCCAGUGACGCGAGCUCCGCGGCCUGGGCCAUGUUGUCCUCGCCCGCCUUGGCGAGCUCCUUCCGGACAGUGGCCCGCUCGGUCUCGAACCGGGCCGCUUUGUCCUUGGCGGCGUUGAGCUCGAUCUCAUGCCAGGCUGUCGCGCCCUUCGCGCUUUCGGUGGCCUUGAUCUGCACCUCCAGCUUGACGCGCAGGCCUUGGAUCUCGCCUAGAUAGUUGGCGAUCAGAUCACUCUUCUCGUCGAUCCGAGCCUGGGCUGCAGCGAGCACCUCAGUGUGCUCUUUCUUGGUUUCUGCCUGGGCCGCCACCAGCGAGUCCAGAGUUCCCUGGAGCUCGGCAUGCUGAGCCUGCAGUCGCCGGUAGAGCUCCUCUUCGGGGACGACCGGUGUGUCGGCAUCCUCCAAGGCUUCCCGGGCAAGGCGCGCCUCCUCCCCGGCGAGGCGCGUCUCCUCCCAUAGCCGCGAGAGCUCCUGCCGCUCCUUCUCCACGGCCAGCCGCAGCUCACCAAGCUGGCUCUUGGCGAUCGCAUGGUGCUCCCUCACCUUGUUGAAGGAGGUGACGAAGGCCAGCUGCUGGUCCUUGACAGCGUCAAGGAACCGGUGCCCCCGGUCGAAGACGCUCGGAUCCCAUGUGAUGAGAUUCCAAGUCACCUCGGCAAGGGUGUCGAGGUCGGUGUCGAAGACAGCGGCCGAUGACGAUGAAGCCCCCGCCGCCACCGCAUAGCUGGGCGGGGGGUGGUCCGCUUGCGGCCGAGCAUCCUGUUGCUCCCCUUCCGCAACCUCCCCCUCACCCGCGCCCGAGGACUGCGGGGCUGGUGAGGGUGCCGCGCCCUCGGCAGGGGCCGCCGCCUGCUGGGCGGCAGAAGAAUCCGCGCCGGCGACGUCUGCGGUUGCGUGCGCGUCGCCGGACACCGUCCCGGGGGCGGCAGUGGUCGCCGCUGCCGCUGUGGCCGGCGCAGCAGGGCUUGGCGUGGGGACUGCCUCCGGCUCCUCCGCCGUCCCCGUAGCUUCGACAACGGGGUCGAGGUCAACCACCAUAGCGCCCGCUUCCGGUGCGGGUGUGCUUAGGCUUGCAACAUCGAGAAGUAUGAGAAGUGGGAAGCUAAAUGAGUUGCCCGGAGACAGACACAGGGGCUCUGGAUGAUUACCUUGCAGGGCCGUUGGGCUUGCGGGGGGAGUCCCCCCCUCCUCCUCCGUCCCGGCAGGAGUCUCCGGGAGGCUUGCUGCGGGCGGAGCGUCGCCUGCGGAAAGAGAAGGUACAGUUGCAGGAUUAACUGACAAAUGAAAUGCAGGUAAGAAAGCAGGAAGGAGCUGUACUUGUUGCCGGCGCCACCUCCGUUGGGGCUGGGUCGUCGGCAGGUGCAGUGGUGACGCAGCUGGCCCCUGUGCCGGCCAGGUCGGCGACGCUGCCAGCGUCAGCCCGCGCCUUCUUGCUCGGCGCGGCAGGUGAGGAAUCGACCCUCCCCCUCUUGCCGGCGCUUGCCGACGAAUCGGCCUUCGGGGGGAUGCGUCGGAGCGCGAAGCCCCGGAAGAACCCCCGAGCGGGCGGAGCCGUGGGUGCCCGUGGGGUUGCCGUGGCCUAGGGCACCGCGGGAACCGUUGGAGGGGCCACUGCGGCAUCGGGGGCCAUCGCUGGUGUGGCCGCUGCCGCGGCCCCGGCAGCUGCUGCUGAGGUAGCCGCCGUCGAAUCGCGGGUGGUCGCUGCCGGGGUGGUCAGCGCCGUGGCUCCGGCAACCGCUGCGAGGGUGGUUGCUGCUGAGGUGCCGGCGGACGCCCCCAAGGCAACCGCCGUCGCGGAGCUGGUAGCCGUCGCAGGGGCGGAUGCCGCCGCAGCUACCGUAGAGGUAGCCGCGGCCGCUGUGUGCGCCCUUGAUCUGCGGACGAUCAGGGGCGCGUCGUCGCUGUCCUCCUCUUCGUCGUCCACGGGGACGACUACCCGGGACGCGGCCGGCUGGCCCCCCUCGUCGUCUGAGGACGGAAGGGAGGGCCAGCUGACUUCCGACUCACCCCCGCUCUCUUCGAGCACCUGCUUCCCGCGAGGUGCAGGCGGAGGAGCGCGCGGGGUCCGAGUGGGGGAAUCGUCCAUCAGCCCCCACUCGUUGCAGGGCGGGAAGGAGGCGACGAUGUCGUUGAGCCCCGGAACGCCGGCGUGGAGGGAGAUAACCCCCGACGGGAACCCCGUGGCGGGGACGUCCUCGUCGGAGAUCCCCUUCACCCACACCUGGAGAGAUUCCCGGUCCACACCCUCGCGGUGGAGGCGGGUCCUGUCUCUGGACCCCGUGUACAUCCACACGGGGAGGGAGCGCAGUUGGAGCGGCGCAACUCGCGGGCUGAUGAAGGUUCGCGCCACAUCGGCGUCGGUGAGCCCCGCUAGCCACAAGGCCUUGAUCUUCUCCACGAUGGGGAGGAGAUCGGCGUCGUGGUGGUAUCGGUCCCGCCAGCCGUUGUUGGGUUGCGACAGCUCGGUGGGCGAAAGGAUGAACUCCUCGGGGUCUUGCACCCGGACCCAGCACCAGUCGCCCCGCCACUCCUUCUCGAUCUUCUUUUCCGACCGGACGAUGAACUCGGACUUCAUCCGGUCGCGGGCGCGGAACACCACCCCCGACGACAUCGCAUUCACGUUAUCGAUCUGGGGGUAGAAGUAAUGCCGGAACAGUGCCACUGACGGCAUUACUCUGACGAAUGCUUCACAAAGGAACUGGAAGGUGGCAAGGAGGUAGAGGGACAUGGGGUGGAGCUGCGCCACCCGCCGCUGGUACGACUCCAUGAGCGCAUGGAGGAACAGGGAGAAGGGCGGCACCAGUCCUGUGAGGAUGAAGCGCCCGAACACCCGGAAGUCGUUGUCCUGGUGGUCGGCGCCGGCGGGGAAGAUCAGGGUCUCUCCGUGCUCGUUGAACCCGAAGGCAACGGCGUGCCGGAUUUUGGCCAGUGCCUCGCCGUUGUAGCCGGGCUGGUAGAAGGCAAGCGUGGCCCUCAUCGGCCGCUUCUUCUGGUCUUUCUCCGCGGCGGCCUUGGCGGCCUCCUCGCUCUUGCUGGCCGCUGGUUUCUUUGGGGCCUUCCCUUCCUUUCCCUUCCUGGUGGUGGGGGGCGCCAUGGGAGCGAGGGCGGAAGCUAGCAAGGCUCUUGGACGCAAGAUGCGAAAAGUUGGAGGAAGAAAGCUGAGGGGCUAAGUGUUUCUCCCUCAACGCAGUAGUAAAAGCUUUAUAACACUCCGCCGUUCGGUAACGGCCGGUUCCGCACCCUACGGGCGCGCUGGGAUAAUUACUAAUCAGAGGGAUAAUGUGAAGAGUGGCCUUAACUUCCUUGUUUAAGGGGGAGGUUUUGGCGGAAAUCUCGCACCCACUACUCCGUCCGUAACGGCGGGAUACUUGGGACGGCAAAGAGACGCGGGCCCAAGGCAAGUCGGGACCCACGCGUCGGUUGGGGCGUAGCCCGGCAACCGACCAGGGAAGGGUUCGCCCGGGGGCUACUGUCGCACCAGUGGCACCCGGAGUGCCACCGCUGCACGACAAGUGGGUCGCAUCGACUGGGUUCCCGGAAGGAUCCCACCCCUGGCGGCAGCGUGCAGGCUGCCCGGCAGGGUUAGCGGGGCUUCGGGGAAUAAUCCCGCCUGGGCACCUCCCGGGAUGGCACUUGCCGGGAGGAGGCGUUCCCGGGCGCAGGUUUCCGCCGUGAGGGCGGGGCCGAGUGAGCAGAACAGCAGCGCCACGUGGGCGCACGGUAGGCGCUCAGUGUGCAGUUUCGUCAGGACAAGGAGUAAGGCGCACGACGCAUUUAAUGAGCCGACAGGAGGAGCGUUAUCCGUCUAGUCGGGAAAACAGUGGUUGCCCAGGGCUAGUUUUUAGGCCUUAGACCCCUAGCCGCGGGUUUGGCACUCAUGCAUGCAUGCCAGCGCACCGAGGAGGGGCUGCCCUAGCUCCCUGCUCGCCACUUUUAAACCAUGCACCGUGGCACCUGUGGUAUCCCCUUGGCUAUAAAUGGAGGACCCCCGCCAAUGGUUGAAGGGUUCGGGUCGGUUCGGUUCGGUUGUUUCCGGAAAAACAACCCAUAGUUCAGCACUAACCCAUAGUAGUAAGCAGCACUUAGCCAAAAAGAGAGCACCCGGGGAUUCUGCCCCCGGCAACCUGUAAACACUCAAUCUUCAGAUAAUACAAGCUCAGACAAGCAGAACGUAGGGUUUUACACCUCCGGGUGGCCUGAACUUGGGUAAAAAGCGUGUGCAUUCGUGUUCAUUGCAUUCUUACGCUUCGCAUUAGCCCCGCCGGCGAUCGUCGGGGCGAUCCCCGUAGCCCACUGCCGAACCUAAAAGGGGGGUGCCCGCGCAUCCCCGGUGUCGGAGCCUCGUGCGACGACAUGUAUUAGCAUUUUUGUUACAAAGUUUGAAAGGUUCCAGUCCUACAACUGGUUGUACUUGAAGUAAGGACAUGUACAAUGGUUGAUAAGACUGUUUUAUCUUAGCUGUGACACGUCAAUUAGAAAAGACAACAAAACAUGUUGUACAACGGGUUAUCUCUUAUUGUUAUAUCUUAAAAUUAAUUCUUAGAUGAAUAAAAUUAACUAAAUAAAUGCUAAGAAAAGGCAAAAUCUAGUAUAAUGGGAGAUUUGCUUUAUCUUUGCCUUAUCAUUCUUGUGAAGAGAUCAUCUCUUAAUUAAGAGAAAGCUUGUGUCUUUUCUUAAUUUCUCUCUCUUUCACGUCAGAUUUUAUCCUACGUGACAUUGCUAAGAGAAGUCUGACAUCAUCCCAUUGUACACGCCCUAAUGAACCUUGCUAAAAAUAUAUGCUAAAUUUGCUUCCAUUUUAGCAGCAACAGAAAAUCUGGCAGAUCUUUAUUUAUGAUUUUUCUUCUUUAUUUGCAGCGGAAUAACAUGUUAUCGAAGAUAAAAUUGAUGCGGUAUGUAAUUUUCUUUUAUGGUGAGUGCCAGAGCUCCAAAUAAGUCACUGCUUGGAUUUUCUUGUGAGUAGAGUCUCUUGCAGUUUUGCAUCUUAAGCACAGGAUCAAUGCUCUUCAUUCUGAGGAUAAUAGCUACACCUAUUCACCAUUGCCCAAAAAAAUGUUCACCAUGCUAUCAAAAUAUAUUUUAAUUCUGAAGAGUGCAUCACUCCAGGAAUAUCAACAAUUCCAUAAGACGCGAACAGGAUUGUAGAUCAUUAAUGUUUUCUGGAACACCAGUCAUCGCGUUCUCAGCAACAAUGGCUGGCUUCUCCUGCCAAACAAACUCCUGUAACCACACAUAGGAGUCACAACUCACAAACAAAGUACUACUGGUGGUACCAGAGAUGGCCAGGCAAGAAAUGUUAUCCUCCCCUUAAAGUACAAUUGCAACCACUUCUGAGCUCGAAACCUCUAACCAUGAACAUUGCAGUGGAUCGUACUGAGAUGGAGGUGUGACACCUGCCUCACGCGUCGUAGAUGACCGAGAUCCUCCGCAAGGCGGUCACCUUCAGCUCGAGGAUGCAUAUGUACUCGGCCGUCCGCCGGAGCAGCAUGUUGACGUCGGCCUCACGGGCGUCGGGGACUAUCUUCUUGAGCUCCCUUAGCCUCCUCAGGACCAUGUGCUGGAAGGGCCUCCUGUGCAUCAGCGAUGCCACCACUCCCUUGGUCUUGCCCACUGUGAACAUGGCCUUUUUUCUCAUCUCUCUCGCUCUCACUCUCCCUCUCCCUCCCAAGUUGCUGUGUUACACACUUAUGCUGUGUGAAUGAUUUGUGUUGAAAGAAGCAAAACGUGGGGUAUACAUAUAGUUGAGAGCCAAGGGGGCGUUUCAAUUGGCCAUGUGGGGAGAACUAGGUUCUAACCUGUAGACUGAGCUGUAAGGAUAGCUCCGAGAAGCCAUGAAUUGUGUGGCGGUCACAUAGAAGCUAGUGUAGAGCGGUGUCUCAGCUAUUUGUAACUUGUAUUUGGGUUGGUUAAAAGCCAGGCUUCUCGUGCUGAUGUUGGUUUUUGGCUUUUGCUCCCUCUUUUCAUAUUCUUCUUGUGAUUGUCUCAGUUUAGAACUUCAGAUAUACUCCUUCCGAUCCAUAAUAAGUGUCUCAGAUUUAAGUACAAUUUUGUACCAAAUCCGAUAUAAGGGAGUAGUUUUUUAAACUUAAGUGGACAUAUAUAUGCACUCAAUUAGGAGUUUUUGCGUCUUCUUAUCCCUGCUGAUGUUAGUUUUUGCUCCCUCAUUUCUUACCUAUGACACACAGAUAACCAGGUAAGCACUGAACAUAUGUGUUCUGCUGAGCUCAGAGUUGCCCUGUGAAGUGGCUCAAGGAAAGUCUUCCUGUCCUAAUCACAACCAUCGGAUGGCCAUCAUUAUUCGCAAUGAUCGGAGGAGAUUUCCAUAAUUCCAUUUGAUCGUCGCCGUGCAGCAGAGCUGCAACCUGGUGGAGGAUUCCUGCACUCCAUCGUAAGGAUGUCAUGUCAGGAUUUGAGAAACGGAGAAAUAAACACAGCGGGGAAAGAGAAAGAUCGACCGACUCACCGACCGUUUCUGGGACGAGACGACACGGCAUGUGAAUCGCCAUGGCCAGCAUUGUUCGAGAGGAACAUGGGCUUGCGCCGAGGGCCAGGGGCACUGGUGCUCGGUGCUGCUCCAUGCAGGAGCAGGCCGGGGACAGGCGCACAAAUGCCUUCGCAUUUCAUAAAGCAGAGCGCACGUCCGUAGCGCCGGGCGAACUAAUUACGUGAUGUGGAGUGCGUAGCGAUCACGUACGUACUGAAGAAGUAUCCAUAUUUUUUGUGUCCAAUGCUCCGAUGGGAACCAGUAGAUAAUCAUUUUCGGCCGGAUCUUAUCAACGUUACCAUAGGGAGCAGCUGCCUAUGGAUAUGCGACGUGCUUAUUGUUUUGAAUGGCGAUUGACAUAUGCUGUCGGAGGAGCGGUCGACGGCGCGCUUGUUCAGCGCGGUGGUGCGGGAGGGCCCCUUGCCGGCUCCUCCCGGUGGUUCGGUGGCCGUGGGCGGCGUGUGUGUCCCUCUCCUCGCACCUGCUCCUCGGCUCGCCUCGGUGGUGGUCCGUCCCCCGUCGUUCUGCCUAGGGUUCCGGUGACGGAGCGGCUGGGUGCGCGGGCGGCUCCGGAGCCUCGGGUGGAAGAGGGUUGGCAACGUGGUGGUAAGCGCCCCUAUCGUCACCGACAGCUGGACGUCAUCCUGCCAUCCCGGGUGGCUCGCGAUGAGAUUCCGCUGGACAUGGUGGGGAAAUGCUACAAUUGCCUGGCCGACGACCAUGUGGCGGCGCUCUGCCGCUCUCCCUGCCGUUGCCGGAACUGCGGUGAGCUGGGUCAUGUGUCGCGCUUCUGCCGGAUGCCGCGUCGUGCUCCUUCGCCGCUUGCCGGUGCCGUGGCGGCUGCCCCACGCCCGGUUGUCCCACGUCCGUCGGUGGCCUCUCGUCCGGUGGCGGGUCCUGUCCCGGCCAGCCUGCCGAUGGUGGUGCCUGCGCCGGCCGCGCUUGUGGUGGUGGCUCCCCGUCCGUCCCUGCCUCCGGCUGCUCCACUUCCCUUGGGGCCGGCGGUGAAUCUUCCUGGCGAGCCGGGUGCGCGGCCGCGGGGUGAAUAUCGCAUCAUUCCCCGUUCUCGGGCUGUGGAUGCGGCUGAAGAGGCUCUCGCUUGGAGCCUGGUGGUGACCGUGGCUGGCGCUCGUGGUCGGGUUCCUUCUUCCGCCAUUGACGCGCUCAUUUCUCGUGCUUGUCCUUUGGCGUCCGGCCUCUUCUCUGUACAUCAUUUCUGGCCAGAGGAUUUCCUACGCGUCUGCUCGUCGGAGGCGGUCAGGUCGGCGAUUCUUGCAGUUGGGGUGGUCCAAGGUGGAGGCUUUUCUCCCAGGUUCAACAAGUGGAACAGGCAACUGCAGCCCACCCUGCGUCCUCUCAGGUACAUGGUUUAUCUUGAGCUUGAUGGGAUCCCUCCUCAUGCCUGGAACGUGGAGACUGCAAAAUUCAUCCUGGGACCGGCUUGUUGGGUGAAGCGCCUUGGGACGGAGACCGCGAACCGGGACGACAUGGGGCGCUUCUCGGUUAUUGCGUGGACGGUGAAUCCUGAGGGUAUUGUCAGUGAGCUUGAGAUCGGUAUCCCCGAGCCUUUGCCGCCUCUUGACGCCGAUGACCACGAGAUCUUUCUGAAACAAUCCGAUCUCAUUCCGGUGGUUGUUUCGGUGCUUGACUAUCCUGUCAUUGUUCAUCUGUUGCGGGUGGAGGAUCGUGAGGAAUUCACUGACAUUUCUUCGCCUAACUUCUCGGCGGGCUCCUCGGACGAUGGUAGUGACCCGGGCGGGGAUCUCGGACGAGGCUCGUCUCCCCGGCGGCCACGCUCGCGAGUGUUCCCGUUUGCCCGUGGUGUGGUGGACGGCCAACGUCCGGCUUCGGGUGGUGCUGAUGGGGGUACUGCUGGGGGGCAUUCCAGAUGCCUGGCUCCUGUCUCGGCACGAGUGGUUGUGCAGCCAUCGCUUCGCCCAGACGCGGCAAUUGUCUGCGCUCGCCGGGUGGACUCGUCUCCCUCGAUGUGCUCCCCUGAUCCUAUGUGUCUGGAGGCGUCCUUGCUUGCACCGCUGGUGGUGUAUGCGCCUUGUGUGGAGUCCUUCUCCCCACCGUCGGCGGAGGUUCCUUUGUUGGGUGCGGCGGAGUUGUCCCCCUUGCCGCUGCUCUCUCACGGUUCGGUCUCGCUGCUUUCUGACCUUCCGGUCGUUUCUGGGUCGGUGGAUCAUGCCUCCCCGGUGCGGUUCUCCCCCCUGGAGACCUUUUGUGUCAGCGUGUCUGCCAGGAGCUCCUCGUUGUCUGCCGAUGCUGUGCCCUUCUCGCCGGCAGCUGUGGAUCUCUCUUCCGAUGUUGGCUUGGUUGAGAGCAUGGUUGGGCCCUUCAGGUGUGAUUGCAGGCGCGUCCCGCUGGCGGUGCUUCCAUCCCCUUCGCCUCGGCCGGUGGUUCUCAGACAGAGCAAGCUGCGUCGGUCUCCUCCUCGCCCUAUUCGUCGGAGUGCUCGGGUGGCUAACCGGCGGCGUUCGUGCUCUUCCGUUGGUCGACAACAGAAGCUCCUGAUUUCUAGGCUUGGUUUGGCUUUGGAAGGCGAGCAAAUCGGUGACGAAGCGUUGGCGGCCUACAUCAAGCUUUUUGAGCAGCCUCUUUCUGGCGAUCACAUUGCGGCUAUUCUGGCGAUCUUCGUUUGGGAGCCUGAUGCCUUGCCAUUGAUGUCAUACGACAUGCUGGCGGUAGUGGUGUCCUAAUGGACCCCCUGCGGUUGUGGUUGGUGGACGGCGUCUAUGUCGACUGCAAACCCGCGAGUGUUGGUGUGGAAUGUGCGUGGCCUGAACUUGCCGGCUAAACGCACUGCUGUCUUUCAAACUGUGGCGGCCUCUGGGGCCUGUGUGGUUUGCUUGCAGGAGACUAAAAUGCAAGUUAUUUCCCCGCUUGUGGUGUUGCAAUGUUUAGGCAGUGAUUUUUCAGACUACUUUUACUUGCCGGCUUCUGGGACUCGGGGGCGGGGGGUUGGUGGGGGGGGUAUCCGGUUGGCCUGGAUACCGGGGGCAAUUUCUGUCUCUCACCCCCACUUCACUGCUAACUCGAUUACGGCCCAGAUCUCUUCACCGGGUGGUUCUUGGUAGUUGACGGGGGUUUAUGGUCCCCAUAGGGAGGCCAACAAGCCGGAUUUCCUCCAGGAGCUCCGUGAUAUUCGUGACCUCCAUGCGGGUCCUUGGGUGGUGCUUGGAGAUUUUAAUCUCAUUGUGAAUUCGGAAGAUAAGAGUAACUCUCGUUUGCACCGUGGCUCGAUGAACCGCUUUAGGCGUCUUUUGUCGGAUCUUGAGUUGAAGGAACUCUACCUCACGGGUAGAUGUUUCACGUGGUCUAAUGAGCGUGGCUCGCCGACGCUGGAGCGGCUAGAUCGUGUGUUCUCCUCUGUGGAUUGGGACUCGGUCUUCCCCAAGGCCUUUCUCUCCGUGCUUGGCACUAGUACCUCUGAUCAUUGCCCCUUGCUCCUUGACUUGGAGGCCGAUCUUCGGGUGGGCAGGCGUUUUCAUUUUGAGUCUUUUUGGCCGCAGGUCCCUGGGUUUCUUCAGGUUGUGGAGCAGGCUUGGACUGAUGAUGAGCACUUCAUUGUCAACCCAUUCCAGUGGAUUGCUUCUCGGCUCAAGAGGACUGCCAAGGUGCUCACGAGUUGGAGCGAUCGUUUUGUGGGCAACAACAAGCUUCAAAUUCUGGUGGCCAAUGAAAUCAUUUUUUGCUUGGAUGUGGCUAUGGAUUCCAGAUCAUUGACGGUGGAGGAGAGAAGUUAGGGCUCUAUUGAAGAAAAAGCUCCUUGGACUUUGUUCUCUGGAGAGGACCAUUGCGAGGCAACGCUCCCGUCUGCUUUGGCUCAAAGACGGUGACGCCAACACGCGUUUCUUUCACUCGCACGCGAGUCAUCGUCGAAGGAAGAACCAUAUUCCUUUUCUUGAUCACGAGGGUGGCAGAGCUUCUGAUCAUAGCGACAUGGCGAAGGUUGCUGAUGACUUUUACAGCGGGUUGCCGGGCUCGUGUGUGGAUCGUGCUUUUGGGCUGGAUUUGGGCCUUCUUGGGGUGGCUUCGCAUGGGCCUUUGGGGCUGGACGACGAUUUCUCCUCUCACGAAAUCUGGUCGGUGAUUAAGGACCUUCCGGCGGAUAAAUGUCCUGGGCCGGACGGCUUCACGGGCCGUUUCUUCACCUCCUAUUGGUCCAUCAUCAAAUCGGAUGUGGAGGAGUGUUUCCGGGCCUUCUCCUCGUUGGACUCGCGUGGUUUUGAGGCUGUGAAUCAGGCGUUCAUCUGUCGGUUGCCUAAGAAAUCCGAUGCCUCUUUGAUUUGAGAUUUUCGUCCCAUUAGCCUUAUACAUGGUGUGGGAAAGUGGAUUGCCAAAGCUUUGGCUAAUCGUCUGGCUCCUGUGCUGCCGACUCUUGUGGAUGUCCAUCAGGGAGCCUUUAUCAAGGGUAGAUGCCUGCACGAUAACUUUCAGUUCGUCCAGGGGACGGCGCGAUGUCUUCGUCGUCUCAAGCUGCUGUCGGUCCUGCUAAAGUUGGACAUCUCGAAGGCUUUUGACUCCCUCCACUGGGCCUUCCUCUUCGAUGUCCUCGGUCAGUUGGGCUUUGGACGCAAGUGGAUGGGUUGAUUGGUGCUCUCCUUGGCACGGCUUCCACCCGUGUCUUAGUGAACGGGGUUCUUGGGGAGGUGAUCCUCCAUCGGCGUGGCUUGCGGCAGGGGGAUCCUCUAUCCCCAAUGCUCUUCAUCUUGGUGAUGGACGCCCUCAACGCUAUGCUUUGCUUUGCCGAGGAGAGUGGGUUGUUGGAGAGACUUCAUCCCCAGGAGAUGAUCCGGCGUGCCUCUUUUUUCGCCGAGGCCAUCCCUCCUUGAUCUACAUGCUUGUGUGGCUAUUCUUGAGGAUUUUGGAGAGGCCUCGGGUCUUCAAGUGAACUUCUAGAAAACGUCGGCCCAUUUGAUCCGAUGCUCGGAUGCUCUGAGGGAGCGCGUGGUGAAUGUCUUGUAGUGUGGUGUCCUUCCUUUCCCAUGCACCUAUCUUGGGCUGCCUUUGGGACUUCGCAAGAUCUCCCAUACGCAGCUGGGUUCACAAGUGGAUAAAGUGGUGAAUCGGCUUCAAAUGUGGACGGCGCCUCUCCUCUCUCAUGGCGGUCGGCUGACCUUGAUCAAGUCCACUUUGAUGGCCAUACCUAUUUACACCAUGAUGUCCUUGGACCUUCCCAUGAAGACGAUCGCUUGCAUCGAUAGAGUUUGUCGGGGAUUCCUGUGGAAAGGACGUAAGGAGGCGAAGGGGGGCCAUUGUCUUGUCGCUUGGGAGUCGGUUUGCUCCCCUAAGUCGUUUGGGGGUCUUGGUCUGCCCAAUCUCAGGUUGUUGAAUCUUGCGCUCAGGACAAGAUGGUGUUGGCUGAGUGCGGUUGACCAGGACAGACCUUGGAGUGAGUUCGCCAUCUCCACUCCGGAGGCUUCCCAAGAUCUCUUUGAAGCGGUCACUUCGAUUACUUUGGGAGACAGGAUCUUGGCACGUUUUUGGUUGGACAAGUGGCUACUGGGGCCCGCUCUUCGUGACCGGGCCCCCUUGCUCUUUUAGCGGCUGUCGCGUGGUGGUGCCAACUGUUCGGUGGCGGACGCCCUUUCUAACCUUUCUUGGGUUCGAGAGGUUGGGCCGAAUUUGUCGGAACAAGGGAUCCUGGAGUACCUCCGGAUCUGGUCUCUAACUAAUGAUGUGGUGCUCUCUGUGGAGGAUGACAAGUUCCGUUGGAACUGGUCGUCUUCGGGUACCUUCACGGCGGCCUCUGCUUAUGCGGCCUUCUUUGCGGGACGCGUGGUGACUCCCUGCGUGGACAAUCUUUGGGCCUCGAAAGCCCCUCCUUGUUGCAAAUUCUUUGCGUGGCUGGCUCUGCGUAACACAUGUUGGACGGAUGACCGUUUGUCUCGGCGCGGGAUGCAACACCCCGCACGAUGUCCGUUGUGCUACCAGGAUGGGGAGUCCAUCGCUCACCUUCUCCAUCGCUGUGUAGUGACCCGGCAGGUCUGGUCUGUCUAUCAUUCUCCGUUGGCGUCACGGGGAGUGGCUUCCGAGUGUGGACGACUCUCUCCAGGGCUGGUGGUCCACGAUUGCUGAUUCUGGGCAUGCUUGCAGUGAUUUGUUCACUGGGAUCAUUUUGGUUUGGUGGUGUGUCUGGAAGUAUAGAAAUGCGGUGGUCUUCGAUGGUUUGACUGCUUCUGCGCGUUCCAUUAGAUACGCGAUCGCGGUGGAGGGUGAGUCUUGGCGACGGGCGGGGCUGUUGGGGGAUAGUCCUUUCGCCGAUGUUGGCCUAGGGGUAGAGGGGUGGGUCUUGCGUGAGUGAUUGUAUAACGUUGGCCUUUGCGGCCUUGCAACUGCAUCGCAGUCUUUUCUUCUUCAAUACAUGAUAUGCCCGCCCGGGUAUAUUCUAGAAAAAAAACUCUCUUCUACUUAACUAAUGGAUCGUAACUUUUUAGACUAAAAAAGGAGAAGUGAUGUCGACAAGUGUCCGGAAUUUAAGUACAAAAAGUUUGUACAAAUUUAUACUAAAUCUCCGACACUUAUUAUGGAUUGGAAGGAGUAAUAAUUCAUAAUCUUAGUCUAACUGCAUCUUCAAGAGAUGGAUCUAGGAGUGUGGAUUUACUUUACACGAUUUAUUUUCUUUCUUACAUUUUCUAGGAGUAGCAUUUCUCGCAAUUGAAUAUCUGGAAAGUGCAUGUACGCGCAUUUAGACCGGAAUGGUUUAUUAAACCGAGAAUGACUAUUAUGUAUCACAGCUUGAAGAGACUAAACAGGAGGGAUAGGUCAUAGUAGGUGAUGAGAAGAGUGGACAGCGAAAGUCAGAUAUUUUUCUAAAUGUGCAAGGUGCGCUGUGUGUCUGAUUAAUGUAUCUAGAGUCAAAACAUGUAGCUGAGGUUCACACUUCACGGGGCGGGGAGAUCAUACCACUUACUUCCUCAGUUUCCAAAUGUAGGACGUGUAAUUUUCGUCGACUAUCAAAUUUUCAAAAACUUGAUCAACCUUUUAACAAAAAAAAAAUCAAUAUCUAAGUUGCCAAAUGAAGAUUGUCAAAUUUAUUGUGAAAUAUAUUUUUAUAAUAUCUUAGUCUGACACUUUAUGUGUCAAUGCCUAGAUCUGACCGUCAAUAAAAAUGAUGCACCCUACAUUUUAGAACUAUUACGGAAUUAGGCAGAUGUAAGAUAAAAGAUGACGUUGAGGCACGAUCGAUACUUGUGAACGAGCUUCAGCCGAAGCAUCAGUUGUGGUCGAUGAAGUUAGGCACUACCCUACGCCAUCCUGGCACUUGGUCCAGCACGGGCCCACCUCUUGCAGUUGCAGCUAACGCGUCACCCAUGGCAUACUGUUCUCGCAUGCAGGCAGUCAAUCAGGGAUGCAAAGUACAAUGCAAGCUACAUAACCACCGUACAUGUGAAUAGAUCUAUGAGAGCAACGACUGAGCCAGCUUAGCAGUGUUGCUGAGUAGCCCUUUGUUGGCGAGAGCAGACACGAUACAAAUUUCAUGCUGAAUUGUACAGGGUGUGCUAGUGGCGCAUGUGCGCGUCGCCUUCUGCCCGGCCGUGCGCAUGCAGCAAACAGUUAUAGUACUGGUAGCUACCUAGCUCCUCAUGGACACGCAGUGGUAUAUAUGACCCCCUGCCCAUGUCCACCAGCUAGCUCAUCAUCUGGAUCGAUCGAUCACACGUAAGGUAGAUGCAAAAGACAGACGCCACUGCACACGCGCGCGUAUACAUUUUACUGGGUGUACCCUCUCCGUUUCAUAAUUCUUGUCCCAAAUUUUCUGAAAAUAGAUAUAUUUAUUUUUAAAAAACGUCUAAAUACAUGUAAUAUUUCAAAGGAGUAGUUGUUAAUUAUGCCUCGCUAUGAUGUACAUGUACGUGCGGUCGCUAUAUAUGAAAUUAAAAACUUCACGGGUUCAGAUGAAGUGCCGGUCAGCAUGGGGCUGAUCGAUGCGUUCAUUGCGUAAUGGCACUCCGGGCCCCGCGUACGUAGUACGUAUGUACAUACUCUUGUCGCGCGCGCUUAUUCCUCGCCGGCACGUGUCGAGCGAACUAGCAAUUUGCUGGAACACCAGCGGUACACCGCACGUGUGCGUGUCCGGAAAACGACGCCACGGCCAGCUUGCCACGAUGGGACCUCUCACAAGCCGUGGCCGUGGCCGGCCAUCGGACGGGCGAACGCGCGCAUGCCCACCCCCAUACACGCACGGGCUCACGGCCACCGGCCCACCACUUUUCCAGUAACUAACUCCAACGGGCCGCUCUCAGGCGCCCGCACGCGUGUUACCGGCCGCUAGAUCCAGCUAGUCCAUGGGGUCGGCCGGACGUUGUGCCAAAUUCGGCUUUAGAAAACGAUGGGCUCUUCUAAGCUCACAGAUGGUCUAGAGAUUCGGUCCACGCCCGAAAGAAGCAUAAGUCCAGUUUUCCAGCCCAUAUUACCCAAAACGCCAACCAAACUGGCCCAGCCCAGCGUGACACCAACGCAAUAAUAAUCCUAAUCCAAGCCAAACCCUUGCCUCUACUCCUCCGGUUUCCGCCUCCGCUCUGCCCGCCGUCGGCUCCUUGACGCCCCCAUCCUCGCCCACCGUCAGCCCAGCCGCUCCGGCCACUCCGCCGCUCCACGCUUCCGUCUCCGCUGGAUCUGGAUCUCUUCCACUCCAACGCCCGCGACACAAGGCAAGUUAACCGACCUGACUGAUCGAUUUUUAUCUCGGAGUUCACGUUGCAUCCCCAUCGCCCGGCGGUGACGCCGCCGCGACCUAGCGGCAGCCUCGUCGCCAGACCACCUUAGCGGCCGCCUUAUCGCGACCCACCGCCCAUGAGCACCUGCGACGAGUCCGUGGGCGCUUGGCCGUGUCUUUGCUUGUUUUGUCUCACGGUUUCUCAAUUAUGUUGAAUUAUGUUUGCGUUAUAGGUCUCGCCAUCUGCUCACACACACGAAUUUACUUUAUUUGCCAUGCCUGUUUAACUGCCUUUGACAUUGUUUCUCUGAGUUAUUCAUCUAUCUGAGUCGAUUCAAUAAACAUCGGUGUACUUCCCUGCCAGACUAAUUUGUGUGUUGUGAGGAUUGUUUAUUUUUACCUUUUGACGGCUUGUGAUUUAAAUGUACUUUUGUAUUGAUUUAUAAUUGUUUCUCAAAUUAUAUACUUUGCAGAGCUUGAGUCCCGUUAAAGGAAAAGAACAAGUAGCCAUGGCAUCUCGUUUUUGGGGACAGGUACUCAUUUGUGCUGAGCCGCUGAUUCCAGAUUCUUUGUUGCAUACUUGCAGUAUUAUGUACACGUUUUAGUCCUUGUCAAAUGCAGUUACUUGACACUUUUAUCUUUGUUCUGCCCAACAUCAGGGAGACAGUGACUCUGAGGAGGAAGUGGAGGAGAUUGAGUCAGAACAAGGGAGCGAUAGUGAAAAAUCAGAAACUGGUGAUGGGGGGCGUGAUGGUUCCAAGAACCGCUAUUUGAACAGAUAUACUCAGGACAGUGAUGAGUCUGAUACAGAUAACCCCCGUGUGAUUCGCUCCUUGAAGGACAAGCGCAAUGAUGAGAUGAAAGCUACUGCUGACCAGAUGCGCAAUGCCAUGAAGAUAAAUGACUGGCUUAGCUUGCAAGAGAGUUUUGACAAGUUGAACAAACAGCUUGAGAAAGUUGUCCGUGUCAAUGAAUCUACCAAAAUUCCAAAUAGGUAUAUCACCACUCUUGUAUUACUUGAGGACUUCCUUGCUGAGGCUCUUGCAAACAAGGAAGCCAAGAAGAAGAUGAGCAGCAGCAAUGCCAGGGCGCUCAAUGCAGUGAAACAAAAACUUAAGAAGAACAACAAGCAGUAUGAAGACCUGAUCCAGAAGUGCAGAGAGAAUCCGGACAGUUUUGAAGAUGAUAUUGCAGAUGAGAAGGAUGUGGAUGAGGACGAAGAUGAUAGUGGUGAAGAUAUUGUGGAUCCUGAUAAGAUGGCUAUGUCUGAAUCAGAAGAGUCAGGGAACGAAGAUGAUGGGAGUGAUGAAGGUGGAGCCUGGGAAAAGAAGUUAAGCAAGAAGGAUAAGAUUAUGGACAAGCAGUUCUUGAAAGACCCGAGUGAGAUUACAUGGGAUAUUGUCGAUAAAAAGCUCCGUGAGAUUGUUGCUUCUAGGGGUAAGAAGGGCACUGGGAGAAUUGAACGUGUGGAGCAGCUAACGUUUUUGACUCGCGUUGCAAAAACGCCGGCCCAGAAGCUUGAAAUUCUUUUCCAUGUGAUUUCUGCCCAGUUUGACGUCAACCCAAGCUUACUUGGUCAUAUGCCAAUCAAUGUGUGGAAGAAGUGUGUUAAUAAUAUGCUUCUUGUGCUUGAUAUACUGCAAAAAUAUCCUAAUAUUGUAGUAGACACCUCAGGGGAGCCUGAUGAGAAGGAAACUCAGAAGGGUGCUGACUACGAUGGAACAAUCCAUGUCACAGGUGACCUGGUUGCAUUCCUGGAAAGAAUUGACUCCGAGUUUUUUAAGAGUUUACAGUGCAGUGAUCCAUAUACCAAAGAUUAUGUCCAGAGGCUUAGAGACGAACCCUUGUUUUUGGUGCUUGCGCAGAAUGUCCAAGAUUACCAGGAAAGGCUUGGGAAUCUUAAGGCUGCUGCGAAGGUUGCAUUGCGUCGUGUUGAACUAAUCUACUACAAACCUCAAGAAGUAUAUGAUGCAAUGAGAAAAUUAGCUGAGCAGACUGAGGCUAGCAUGGAGGAUGAAGAUACUGAGGCUGGUGAGGACCAUCAAGCAGCUGAUGACAACAGGGGGCCAGCACCGUUUGUGGAGAUUCCAGAGGUAGUACCUAGGAAGUCUACUUUCCCAGAGAGUGGCAGAGCUUUGAUGGAUGGAUUGAUGUCUCUAAUUUACAAGUAUGGGGACGAAAGGACCAAAGCUCGAGCAAUGCUGUGUCACAUAUAUCACUAUGCAAUCUCUGAUGAAUUUUCUGUGGCUCGUGACUUGCUCUUAAUGAGUCGUUUACAAGAUGCGGUUCUACAUAUGGACAUAUCAACACAGAUUUUAUUUAACAGGGUUAUGGCCCAACUGGGCUUAUGUGCUUUCAGGGCUGGUUUGAUAGCUGAAGCUCAUGGUUGCCUGUCCGAGUUAUAUUCAACUGGUAGAGUGAAAGAGUUGCUUGCACAAGGUGUACAGCAAAGCCGGUACCACGAAAAAACUCCUGAACAGGUGAACUUUCGAACCCUCAACUCACACUUCCCUUGUCCUUUAUUUGAAAUAGUUACAUAUUGGUCAGUUUGUCACCUAGGGUGUGUUUGAUUCUAGCCCAACCUUGCCCUACCUAAAAAUUGGUUAGCCAAAAUAUUGGCCAACCUUUUGCUUACCUAUGAGCUGGCUUCUUUUGCAAGAAAAAUGAACUAGAGUUGGCAAAGAAUCAUUGUCGUAUACCAAAAUAUUGGCUACCAUCCGAUCAAAGACCGAGGUUUUGGUCAUAACCAAAAUAUUGACAUGGUACCUUUUGGUAACAAUCCAAACAUACCCCUAGUCUCGAAUAUAGCAUAUGCGUAGGAAUUGAACCUUUAUUGAGUUAUUUCUGGUAAUAGAACAACCAGUCUGUUGUAGUAGAAUUUCUUUCCGUGCAUGUAUUAGUUAAUUCAUUUCUUAUUUCUCCUUAUUCUUUACUAAUUUGCAGUUUUUCCUUACCACACAGAUCUACCAGGAUGGAUUGUAUUUAUUUUGAUGCCUAAAAAUGCAAAAAUGAAGUCUUGAAAUUGCAGGAAUUCAUUUAUAAUAAGAUCUCCUAUAAAUAUUUAUAUUGAUCACUCUUAUCGAUAUAAAAAUUAGUGUUAGGUUUUGUGUUGAGGUAUCUGCUCAACGCAGGUGCAGAGAGAGCGGGUUGGGUGUUUCAAGUUUAUUGUUACAGAAUAGAAAAAAAAGUAGUUUUAGAAUCGAAGGUUCAUAAUAUAAAAGUAUAGGCUUUUACCCUUUAUAUUUUGGUUUUGGAAUUAAUACAUCAUUCAAGUUCGCUAACAGAGUAUCUCUUCCUUUACCCAAGAAAAGGCAUUUCUAUUUUCGAUCCAAUUCCAGAGUUUCAACAAUAAAUUAGGUUGCUAGCUAAGCGUCCGGUACCUAAAAGAGUGCUAAGCUAAUCUGGUUCCUUCUGGUAGCAGAACUUUCGGUUUCAGGGUGGGGUGGGGUGAUCAAUCAAGCUUGAUCACCCAUUAACAAGCAAUUGUAAAUUCGUAUUCUGUGAUGGUUUGGUCAUGGGGUGCUCCUGAUUUUACACAAAAUGACUCUGGUGUUUCAUCACCUGUGCUCCGUGCCAUUUUCUCCAUGUUUAGCUCCUUCUGUGUUUUUUUAAUCUAGAUCUACUAUAGGUGCUUCAAGAUUAUCUGCUCUGAUUUUGAGUAUUUUCAAGACUGAUAUGGGCUUCAACUCUUGGUUUUAGCUAUAGGAUUCAAUGAAGAAAGCUGUGAGUUGUGCACAGUAGGAAUAGCAAGUACACAUUUUGUGCUAGUACUCAUCAAUGCUGACAUUGUAGUUACUCUUAUCCCUGCAGGAAAGACUUGAGAGGAGAAGGCAGAUGCCUUACCAUAUGCAUAUAAACCUUGAACUUUUGGAAGCCACACACUUGAUCUGUGCAAUGCUAAUUGAGGUCCCCAAUAUGGCUGCCAGUACUUUUGACAAACGGAGGCCUAUGAGCAAAACAUUCCGCAGACUUCUUGAAAUGAGCGAGAGACAGACUUUUGUUGGUCCUCCAGAAACUGUGAGGGAUCAUGUAUUGGCAGCUACAAGAGCCCUCAAUAAGGGUGACUACGAGAAGGCUUUCAGUGUCAUCAAUUCACUUGAUACCUGGAAGCUUUUGAGGAACAAGGAGCACAUUCUUGAGAUGCUGAAGCUUAAGAUCAAGGAAGAGGCUCUCAGAACCUAUCUGUUUUCUUACUCAUCUUGUUACGAGUCCCUGAGCCUUGCUCAGCUCAUUACUAUGUUUGACCUUAGCGAGCCACAGGCUCACAGCAUUGUUAGCAAGAUGAUGAUGCAUGAGGAGCUUCAUGCAAGCUGGGACCAACCGACCAAGUGCAUCAUUUUCCAUAGCGUGGAUCAAACUAGGCUGC